UUUUUUUUUUUUUUUUUUUUUUUUAUGUUUUGGUCGGUUAUUGUGUUGGGGCAAAAUAUGUUUGCGAUAAGAUGUGGUUACACCACUAUAUGCUGAUGAUGCAGCAUUUCUUUUCUUUUUCUUUCGUGUAUUUUCCUGGAAAUUUGCCAAUUCCUCGCUUGGUCAAAAGUGUGUGCUAGGCAUUUUCAGUUCAGUUGGGGAGCUGUUUUUCAUCUGUAAUAUUUCAAAAAAAAAAAAGAAAAAAGAAAGGCAUUACAUUUCAACAAAUACAAUCCAAAUAUUUUUUGUUUUAAAAUGUCUGGAUUGAUGAUUUCUUAAAGUUUUUGUAAAAGAAGAAAAAAAUGUACUUUAAUGAUCAUUAUAAUGUAUAUUAGAUAAAAAAAAAUGUGAUUGAAAAAUCAAACGUAAACAUUCCUUAAAAAAAAAAAAAGCAAUUGCAAUCCAAACAAGGGUUUUUUUUUGCAAUUUACAUGGCAAAGCAUUUUUUUUUUUUUGGGGGUAAAUGAUGUUGAAAAUCAAAUCAUGGGUUAUUGCCGGUUUCCCCUCUAUACUAUCACUAAAUGAAAUGAUGGGAGGGUAAUAACAGUAGUACUUUUCCUGAAUGGGGGGUGCAUGUCUUAAUCAUGGAUGACAACAUUGCAAUAAUUUCAAAAUCGCUGCAAAGACCAUUCACAUUUAAGAAAUUCAAAGUAAAUGAUGAUAAAAGAAAAAGCUCUUGUAAGAUGACUCCUCCGUUUCAAACUCAUUAUUGGCCUCCUCUUAAAUCUCAGGUCAUUUGGUAAAAACUUUAAUCAACCGCCAACAAAGCAAAUAGCUCCCCCCCCGGGCUCCCAAAAAAAACAUUAUUAAUAAAAUUAAAAAUAAUAAAAAAAGAUAUUUUCUUUUUUUGGUUGGAUAAAAUUUUGUAAAGCCACCUUUAGUUCCUCCCCGCCAUCUGGAGAACACGUACCACUAUAAUCAAAUCACUCCCUCUUCUUAUGCCCUACGCUUUGAGAAAGCACAGCAAAAUCUACAAUAGCAUUCCAAAAUGGAGGCAGCCCAACACGUGGCGCCACAAUCGAGUACCCCGAUUGUCUGGCAGUGUCCGUACAAAGCGGACCACACGUAACAUUGCCUCUGCCGCCACCCCCACCUCCACCGGCCUUCUCAGUCUCCGGUCACCUUCUCCGGCGAAUCAUUUUGAGCAAAGUAAUUCCAGAAGAAUAACAGUUUAAAUUCGAUUAAACAAUGCAAUACAUCUAACUGGAUAAAAGAAAAUUAGCCAGGAAAAAAUGAAAGAAUUUAACUACGUCAUCCUUUCUUGCAUGAGGAAAUUAGACGAGUUCAUGAGGAGAUCCUUUAAACAACAGCACGAAAUUCUAUUCGUUUCUGUUUCUGUUGCAAAAAAGUAAAGGAUUAGUUUUUUCUAUUCACAUCCAACGGUGAUUUCCAACUGACAAAAUAUUGAUCACCGGAAAGUUUUCGCUCUCACCGUCCACUAUUUUCACCUACAACAUUUUUUUGGUCUCUUUUCUACAGAGGUUUUCUCCCAAAAAAAAAAGAGAAAUACGGAGGAAGGAUUUAAUGAGAAUUAAAAUUAACAGAUCCCGAUCGUCGCCGAUCCGACAAUUUGAGUCAAGCAUUCUCCGACGGCGGGGGCAGGUUGAGAUCGAGAUCGAGGUUGAGCUCAUAGGUGGUCUUUAGCGGCUUAACAUCGGCCCGGUUCAGGUCGACUUCGACCGAGGACGAGUCGGACUCGCUCUGGACGUCAAUGGCUCCCGCCGCGGCGGCGGCGGCUGCUCCAACGCCGAGAAAAUCCACGGCUACCGUUACCCGGUGGGGAUUGAGGACACUGUGGUCAGGCUUCACCAUUGCAUGGCGCGCGAGAGCGUCGAAGAAGAACGCCCGAGAAGCAUUCACCGCCGGCGGUUGCAUGACUCCGGCGAAACGUCCGGCGAAGGGAGAGAGCCGAAACUGUUGUUGGUUCUGGUUAGGAAAAGCAAACUUGACGUUCAUCGAACCGCCCAGGCUGAGAUCCAACGGCGAAGAAGAGGAGUCCGCCACCGCAACCACCGGCGAGAAGGCCUCACGGCUGGACGACUCCACGGUGCUGCUCUGGCUGCUUGGGCUUCCAUUGUUAGUAUUAACGUUAGUAUUAGUAUUAUUGUUAGUUUUCACAAAAUUGUUCUGAUCCUUAAGGUUGAGGUUCACGGUGGUGAGUCUCAACAUAUUUUGGCUGAGAUUCCCGUUAUGUUCCUCGGGAAGAGGAAAGUUUGUCUUCGCCUUGGCGCCUCGAAAUUCCCUGGCGGCGGCGUCGUAAGCACGGGCGGCUUCCUCCGCGGUAUCGAAGGUUCCGAGCCAAACGCGGCUCUUUUUUCCAGGGUCUCUGAUCUCGGCAGCGUACCUCCCCCACGGCCUCUUCCUCACGCCCCGAAAAUGCAUCUCCUUUGCAAUACCUGGGUUGGCCGACGCCGCCUUGUCUCUCGGCGCCAUAUCACAACGCCACCUCUAAUGAUAUAUAUAGAUAUGGGAAUAUGUAUGUAAAUAUAUGUUGGUUGGGUCGUUUUUGUUGGAUGGAUGCUGAGGAAUGAUUAUCAAUUGUUAUUCGUUGAAGGCAAAAAACUAGGGAAGAGUGGUGGGGGUGGGGGUGGGGGGGGGGGCGAGAGGGCGAUGGUGGUGCGGAGAAAAGGAAGGAGAUUAUAUAAUGGGGGAGAGGCCGGAGGGAGGGGCCGAGGCAUGAGGGGGGUUGGGGGCUGGGGGUAGAGUCAAGGAAAGAUUUGACUGCGGAGAGAGAAAGAAAGAAAGAGAAGGAGCCGCCCUGAGAGGGUGGUGGGGUCAGAGGGAUUACGUGGCACGUGGGUUCCGUUGGCGGCAUAGUUGUACUGUUGUGGUGGUACUAGACUACUGGGAGUAGUAGAAGAAGGAAAAAGUAUAAUGGAUAUAUACAUACAUACGCGUGGAGUAUAAUGUACGUGUGCCCGUGCGUAAUGUUUGAGGAUAUAGAUAUGCAUGCUCUCCUCCUGUCCUCGUGUAAUUUUUGGGAUAGGGGCAUUUAUUGCGCUUGGAUAGUUUUUUUUUUUUCUUUUUAUGUUGCUUGCUUCUUUAUUUAGUUUUGGGCGUUCAUUUGUGUGAUUGUUUGGAGAUACUCCGCCAUUCUAUGGCCCUAGGGCACAUUUUGACAUGAAUGUACCCUUCUUCUUACUUUCUUUUCCUUUUUUUUUUUAUAAAAAUUUUAUAUGGUAAUUUGCAUGCAUAAAGCUAUUAAAGGGGUUAUUUGGAUAUAUAUAUACACACACACACACAUAUCCAUUUGCUAUUUUUUUUUUGUUGGAGCAUUAUAAGUUGUGUUAAUAUUGACACCUAUUCACUGUUUUUUUUUUUUUUUGGCAUUGCCAAGGCUAUUUUAUCAGCGUUUCAAAAAUGCGUUAAUAUUAACACCUAUUGACCGAAAUUUAUUGCGUUAGUUUUUUUUUCCCUAGGGUUUUUAGAGUAGUUUUAUUUAAACAUGUAGCUUUCGUUAAUUCUAACAUCAUACCAAAUUUGGAAACUUUGAUCCGUCAAAAUUAGGUUUCAAUAAAUAAGAAAAUUUAAAUUUUGUCCGAACCCUAUUUUGGAGUCACUCGGUCGCCAUAUUGUUACGUACAAUACAAUUUCUAAACUUUUUUUUAAAAAAAAAAUGUAUAUGAGAGUUUUAACGAACUCACAUAACUUGCUUCCGACAAAAUCAAGUUUACGACGCAAUCAACGAACUGUACGUUUAGAAUGUUGAAUGCUCAAUCUUUACAUUUUUCAAGGAAAAAUAACGAAAUCUAAUGUAAUUAGUUUGGUCAAAACUUUAGUGAUAAAAAAAAGGAUGAAAUUUGUCCAAAUGUUGUAGAAUCAUUAUAAAGGAUAUUUAUUGCAAAAUGACAUAAUAAAUUAUCAAAAGUCGUCCCUUUUUUUUUGGUUCAAAUACAUGUAUUCUGAAUAAAAAUAUUCAUGUAUUAGUUAAAAUCCACAAAAAAUGUUUGUUCGGCUGCAAAAUGACUAAAAUUCAUCUAGGUUUUUGAGAAUGCAAACUCUUUAACGCUUUAAUUGACUAAAAACAUUAGUGGUCCAUUCCUAAUAAAAUUAACACCUUGGAUCACCAAAAAAUUUAAUAUAUGAUCUAAAACAAAUGUUUUGAUCACCCAAAACUUUUUGACGUUUCCUAUUCUUGCAAUAUUGGAUUUGAUAUUAAAAAAUAGUGAAUUUGACAUCAUAUCACAUAUAUAAAUAAAUUACCGAGACAAGUUGCUUAUUGUUUUCCUAAAUCACUUCUCAAAAUCAUUAUAUAUUUAUGUACCAAAAGAAAAGGUUAAUUCCAAAAUACCCUUCCAAAAAUAUUUUUUCUCACUUUUGUCGCCUUAAAUGUUGAAUUGGAUCAAUUCCUUCUCAUGGUAGUUGAUUUUUUUUUUUUGCAAUCAAGUACAAUUAAUGAAGCCGCCAUAAUUUUUGUCCAAAUGUUCAUGAGAGAUACACAAGCUACUACAAAAAGGACUAAAUUACCACUAAAUUGUCAAAAUUUUUAUGUUCCUAACGUAUUCUUAAUUCUAACAAAUCAAUAUGCAUACAAUUAUCGUACGUGCAAUUCAAAGUGAUAAAAAAGCCUAAAGAUAAAGGACUAAAUACGCAAUGGUUUCAUCUUCUCCUCUACUUAUAAAAUAAAUCCUAUAUAUAUAUAUAUAUAUAUAUAUAUAUAUAUAUAUAUAUAUAUAUAUAUAUAUAUAUAUUCUUUUUAGAAAGGAUAAAAUACUAAAAAAUCAGAUUUGGUAUAUUUAAAUUUUUAUUCUUUGCUUUUUUAGUGGCACAAAACAAUUUUGUAUCUAUAUAUAUUGGCUAUUUGAACUUUAAAAAUUUGUUGGAAACAUAGCAAAUCUAACUUAUUUGGUGAUGUUUUAGUCUUUUCAUAGCAACAAGUAUAUCUCAAACGAGUAAUCCUUUUGAGAAAUUGGCCAUGGUAUGUGGAUUGUUCCCGAUUGGAAAAAAUCGAAUAUCUUAAGGGGCGAAUUGAUCAAAUUCAACAUUCAAAGGGGUAAAGUGAGAAACAGAUAUUUUUUGAAGUUGCUGUUUUAGAAUCAGCCUAUUUUAAUGGUAAAGCAAUUAAAUAUACAGUUAAGUAAACUACGAAGUAUUCCCAAGUUCAAACCACAAAGCACAAAUAAAUUCAGAUGUCAUACUUGAUUAUUCAAUAUAAUUGCUUACCAUCAUUUCAUGGAGAAUCUUCUGCCAUUUCGUCUGCAAAGUAAAAGUGAUCCUUGUUUAUGCCAUUUAUAUUCAUGAUGAGGGCAUGAACUCUUUUCUAUAGAUACGAAAUUACAUUUUACUAGUUGGCGUAUUUUAGAGAAAUUAAAAAUUAAUUAUAUUUUUUAAUUAAAAAAUAAAUUGUAAUUUUAAAUAAAUAAAAAAAAACUAUCGAAAUGAGACGGAGAAAAUAAUAAUCAUAUAUUUGUAGAAUGUCAAAAGUUAGUUACUUUCAGCUCCUUUGAAUUCCAUUCGGACAUUAAUUUUGAAUAAGAACUGAAACUCUUACCAAAGUACUAGUAGUACUGCCAAAGUCGAGGAAAUUGGAUGACAAAAUCAAAGGGAGAAAGAAAGAAAGAAAAGUGUGGGAGGAAUUCUGGGGUAUGGGUUCAGAUUGACGGCGUCAACAGGCACAAACUAUAAUGCAGGCAUACGUAGUACGAGUACUAGGUGGGUAAUAGCGGCGUCUAUAAAUGCCUCCCAGCGGUGGAGCACGCUUUUUGGGUGGUCCGAGUGAAGCGCUAGUUCGGUGGAGGCGGUUGACCAAUGAUCCGCAUCCACGUACGCACUUCUUUCAAUGUACACGCGUGUUGGACAAAAGCAGAUACUUACUACUAACCGAAGCCGGCAUGCCCGCCCAAGGGUCUGUCAAAUACCAGCAGGAUUUCAUGACAACCCAGCAUCUAUUUCGUCCGACAGCUAUAUGCCCCCCACGCUCUCUCUUCCCUGUCGUGACUCCACGCUCUCUUUCAUUAUUAUUAUUACUCCUACUUACUUGACUGGUAAUUGCCGCCCUACAAUCAAGUGCAGUAAAUCUAUGCUGUGAACGGGGUGACAUUUACUGCUCUGUUUUAUUUAUUUUAUUUUUUGGUAAAACAUUUAUUGCACUAUAUAUACCAGUUCUAUUAAUUAUACAAUGUUGAUCUACUAGUUCUUUUUUUUUUAUUUUAAUAUUUCAGGGUCUAUGUAACGAUAUCCGUUACUUCAGGUGUCAGACUCUCGAAAACAUAAGAUUAAUUAGAAAAGGUGUAUAAAUAUAAGGAAGGAUAAUAAUUAUUAAAUUGUAUUUAUACAUAGUAAAUUGGAUAAAAUUUAGAUGCGUGUCUAUUGGACACUCGUUAGAAAAACUCAAAGUUUCAAAAGAGACUCCAAAUUUUAUCAAAAUUGCAGAAAAUGGGAGAGUAAUUUGGUUAAUGUUCUGUUACCACUAAACAUGUGAUAUAUUUGUUCAUCAUGAGAAAGUUACUCUACCAUUAAUGAUUCGUGGGUUUAAGCUGGGAGGGAAAUAAUUACUUUAGAAAAGCAAAGCUACGAAAAAAAUUGAGUCGCCAAAAUGUUUGUGUAUAGGAAAUAUUAAUUACUCCUUUUCAAUGUCAAAAGGAUUAAAGAAAGGAAAUGAAAUUAAUCACUAAAUGCUAUUUUGUCACAUAAGAAAUUAUCUGGAUAUAUAGGAUUGUGCAUGGGGUUAGACAAACCCUUCACAAAGAAAGAAAGAAAGAAAGAAAGAACCCUCAAAUUGGUUGUAAAACCGUCCAAAAGUGAAGGGAGAUGAUCUAUGAGUUAUGAGGGCAUUAUCUUGGUAGCGUUGAAAUUCCAAGUAAGAGUAAAUGGUUUCUCAUUUCUUCAAUUUGAAAUCAAAUUGAAUGGUAGAGAAAAUUGACUUCAAAGUAAUUGUGCAUGAAUGGACCAGAGCAAGAUUUCCAUUUUCAUAUGCAACUAAAAGAAUAAAAAACAUGCAAUGCAACACUUCUCAUGUUUCAUGAGUCAAACCGCGGAUUCUCAUUUCUUCCUCUGUCAAUUCAUUCGACCGAAGCAGUACAUCAAGUAUGUGAAGUUAUUUUCACACUUGAAUUAUGCAAGGACGAUGCCUCGUUCACGGAUUUUGACCACCACCAUGAUACUGCUAUGGAGCAUUUUCCUUCGCUUCUAGAUUUCUACAAAUUUAAUUUUAGCAUUUUUGUCCCUCCAAAUUUCCUUCUAAGCUUCAAGUCCCAAUUUUACAAAGAAUUCUGAAAUAGAUAUAUACUAGCAUUUUUUUUCCCCUACCAUGCAGAAUUUACAAAUUUUUCAGCGUUUUCGCAAAAAAAAAAAAAAAAAAAAGAGCAGAAGAAGCGUAAUGGAUUUGUAUGAAAAUGAAACUCGGAUGAUAUCAAAUUUUGGCCCAGAAAUAUCCCCGACCGCAACAAAAAGAGUAAACCAAUAGCCAACAAAAUGUGGUCGGUGGUAUACCCUACUUUAGGAGAUUAGUCAAAAAUGACUUGUUUUUAUGACUUUGCUUUACAUAAUGCUGGCACAACGAGAGCAAUGCCGGGAACUUUCAUACAUGAAAGAUGUCAGUUUUGUGUCAUGAGAUGAAACUUCAUCCUCCAAUCUGGUUAAUUAUGAAGGCUUAAGGAAACAAAAGUUGUAAUCAAUACUCAAUAGCAACCAUUCGUGGGACACGCUUGAUUAGUGGCUCAUAGAUGUGCUUGAAAAUUCAAUCUGAUCAUUAAAGAAACCACAUAUCAAUCAGGUAAAAGUAUCUCAAGGAGUCAUGAAGCACAGCAAUUAUCCUUUCAAAGAAAAAAUCAGAAUUAAAUUACUAACCCUGAAACACAGUAACACAGUGAUCCCCUAAUUCACUUUUGUGUGUAUGCUUUCCUACUGAACUUCUGAAGAUAACCCAACUCAAAUUUUGUUGGUGGUUGUAAAAUUUUUUUAAGAAGUUAGCAAGAAAUGGGAUGAAAACCAUGGUGCUUCGUCUCGCUUUUUUCUUCUCCAUUAAAAAUGCAUGGUAUCUAGUAAAGAACGAUGGCGAAAACAAUUGAAUUUAUUUAUUUGUAAGAUUAACAUAUUUUUCGAUCAUUUUUUAUUAUCUUGUACACAUCACGGCUAAUUUCUUAGAUUAUAGGUAUAAAAAAAAAUCCGCCAAAUGCACCUCUAAUAAGGGAUGUUUCUCAAUUUAUACCGGCCGUGCUGACCGCCUGAGAAGAAUUUUUUUUUAAAACAAAGUCAGAUCGGACGUGACCUUUUUUGAUUGCCUGUCAGAAGCCGUGCCCAGUCAGCUCGGCUUCCAGUAGGCCCUUGACACUACUCGGCCGCAGUUGCCUCUGAUGAGGCUGUCGCCUCUUUUUUUAGCGGUGAAAAUCCCCAUGCUUGUGCAAUUAUGUGAUACUGCCGCUCCUUCAAGCUGCUUCUCUUCUUUUUCUAUUUCUUUUUUCCACACCUGCUUGUCUUUCAAAUCCUUUGCUCUUAAAAUUGAAUAGUCCAUUUGGAUUAGCUAUUUUUUGGGUUAUUUUUCAAAAACAAUACUGUAACAUUUCGUUUUUGAAAUACAAGUACGUUUGAAUUAGUUGUUUUUGAGGUUGUUUUUCAAAAACUAUAUGAAAAACUUUUACUGUAGGUGUUUUUUGAAAAACUUUUACUGUAGGUGUUUUUUAGAUUAUUUUUAGAGGUAUUUUUAAAACAUAUUUUUGAGUAUUUUUAUAAUUUAUAAUUUUUAUAUUUAUAGACAUUUAUAAAUAUUUAUAAACAAAUAUAUUUAUAUAUUUAUAUAAAAAUAUAUAAAUGUAAUAUAAAUGUAUUAUAUUAUAUAUAAUACAUAAUAUAAAUAUAUUUAUAAAUGUAUAAAUGUAUAUUAUUAUAAAUGAAUAUUAUAAAAAUGUAUAAAUUAUAAAUUAUAAAUUUUAUAUUUUUAUAUAAAUAUAUAUUUAUAUAUUUAUAAUACAUUUAUAAAUAUUUAUAAAUAAAUAUAUUUAUAUAUUCAUAUAAAAAUAUAUAAAUGUAUUAUAUUAUAUAUAAUACAUAAUAUAAAUAUAUUUAUAAAUGUAUAAGUGUAUAUUAUUAUAAAUGUAUAAAUUAUAAAUGAAUAUUAUAUAAAUGUAUAAAUUAAUAUAUUAUAAAUAUAUGUUAAUAAUAUGUAUAAAUGUAAAAUUAAUAUUAUGUAUAUUAAAAUAAAUGUAUAAAUGUAUUAUAUAUUAUAUAAUACAUAAUAUAAAUGUAUAUUAUAAAUAUACAUUAAUAUAUAUUAUGUAUAAAUGUGCAUUUAUGUAUAUUAUAAAUAUACAUUACUAUAUAUAUUAUGUAUAAAUGUACAUUUAUAUAUAUGUAUAAUAUAUAUUAUAUAUUAUAUAUUAUAAAAUAUUUAAAUAAAUACAUUAUAAAUAUAUAAAAAUAUUUUUUAAAUAAAAUAAAAUAUUUAUAAUAUGUAUAAAUAAAUAUUUAAUAUAUAUAUAGUAUACAUUAAUAUUAAUUAUAAUAUUAUAAUAUUAUAAAUCUGGUGUUUAUAUAAUAUUUCUAUUUGUAAUAUUUAUUGUAUAUUUCAUUAUAUAAAUAUUUAUAUAAUAUAUAAUAUAUAAAUAUAUAAUACAUAAUUUUCAAUUUGUAUAAUAUACAUAAUAUUGUAUAUAUAUAGUAUACAUAAUAUACAUUUAUACAUUAUUACAUAUUAUGUAUAUUAUAUAUUAUACAUAACAUAUUGGGCCUGUUUGGAACCUAAGUUUUUUAGGAGUUUGUCUAAAACUUUACUGUAGUGCACUGUAGAAGUUUUUGAAAAAAUUGUAGAAGUUUUUGUAAGGUGAAAAACUUUUUUGUAGAAAUUUUUUUAAGGUGAAAAACUUUUUUUCCUUUUUUUUUCUUUCUCUUUCUUUUUCUUUUUCUUUCUUUCCUUUUUCUUUUCUUUUUUCUCUUCUUCUUCUUCUUCCUUCUCCCUCCCCCUUCCCUCCCCCGUUACCUCUGCCUUCCCAGUCCCAGCAGCCAUGGCCCUUCCAUUUUUUUUCUUUUUUUUCUUUUUCUCUCUCUUUUUCUUUUUCUUUCUUUCUUUCCUUUUUCUUUUCUCUCCUCUCCUCUUCUUCUUCUUCUUCCUUCCUUCCCCCUCCCUCUUCCCUCGCGGUACCAGACGACCAGCAGCCCCUCUCCCCAAUUUUUUUUUUCCAUUUUUUCUUCCCCUCUUCUCCUUCUCUGCUCCCCUAUCCCCCUCUACUCCCCUUCACCAUCCCCCUCUCCCUCCCGAAGCGGAGAACCAGCAGCCAUGGCAGAAUACAAUUUUUUUUUUUUGCUUUUUCUCUCCCCCUCUCCUCCAUCUCCCUCUCCCCCUCUCCUCCCCUCCCCUUCCCCCCUCCCUUUUUGCCCAAUUCGAUCGUUCGACCAGAUCGCAUAGCGUGCGACCAGAGAGGAAGCGGAAGCCUUUUGCCCAAUUCGGUCUUUCGUGGUAGCGUGCGACCAGAGAGGAAGCGGGAGGGUGGCCAGGGAGGGGAGGGGAGGGAAAGAUAGGGGGAGGGGGAGAGGCCGGGAGAGGGAGAGCGAGAGGGAGAAGGAAAAAAAAGGGGUAGGCCGGCGCCGGAAACAGCGGUGGAGGUGGUGGUGGCCGGCAGCGGAGGUGUGGUGGAUAGGGGUGGGGGAGAAAGAAGAAGAAAAUGGAAAGUUUUUGUGUAUUAGAUAUUUUAAAGUGUGUAGGUUAAAAAAUUUGAUAAGUUUUUUUGGGUUCCUGUAGCUAAAGUUGUUAAAAAAGUAGUAGCUAAAAAACUUGGCCAAAAAACUUGAUUCCAAACAGGGCCAAUUAUUAUACAUUAUUAUACACAAUAAUGUACAUAAGAAUAUUAUACAUUAAUAAUGUAUAUAUUAUAAUAUAGUGUACAUAAUAUAUUAUGUAUAAAUAUUUAUACUUUUAGUGUUGUCUUUUGUUCCUAAUUUGAAAUAUUAUUUCGCAUGCCUUCAAAGAAUACAUAAAAUCACGUAAUUCAUAAUUUAUAUUCAAUUAUAUUGUACAGCAAAAACUUAAAAACCUAAACUCUAAAACAUUAACGCAAAAACCCUAACUAUAAAACACUAACUCUAAAACCUAAAAAUCUAAAAACCCAACUCUAAAAACCUGACACAGAACCAGUGCAGUCAGCCUUGUGUCAGUCGCAGUCGUGCUGACUGUGCACGGCUGCGACUGACACAAAAUCAUUCAUGUCUGGCACUUUCAGUCGGAGCCGUGCACAGACAGAAGCCUAACCGCAAUGAAAUUUUUAAGGCUCGUGGAAAAUUUAAUUUUGGUGCCGUCCUGAGUCAGCAUGGCACGUAUAGAAUGAGAACAUCCCCAUGUCAGAGGUACAUUUGGCGGAUGUUUUCUUUUUUGACCUAUAAUCUAAGAAAUUAGCCACACAUCACCUUAAAACAGUCUUACAAUAUUUUUUUUUUAAAAAAAAUUAUCUGAAUCAGAAGUCAUAGGCUCAGACAGAUGCCCAAAAUUAUUCCAAAAUUUUCCGAUCCCCGGAUUCUGAAAGUCACAAGCUGCGACAAAUGCCUUGGAAUAUCUUGAACAAAUAAUAUAUUAUGUUUCUUGAAAGGGACUAGGUCAAUCUUGCUUGGACAUUUGACUUAAAAUUAAGACAUUUGUUGAUACCAUCCAUAUUGUACUUAACAGCUAACCACCGCCCAAACGCGAAGCAAGACACAUGGUCCUGGUAACAACUUGCCGCUGAUCAUCAUCAUCAUCGUAUCAUCAUCAUCUUGGGCUGCAGCCGCUGAAUAUUUCCAGAUUUCCCACCAACAUAUUCUAUGUCGAAAGUGGGACCCGCUAAAUAAUUGCAUCCCAUACAGAAUGAUUGACUUUGGAGAUACGUUACCCACAAUUUCGCAGCAGCAGCUGAUUGCAUGAGUUGAAAGGACAAUAGAAAUUCAAUAAUGCAUUCACACGAGAGGAGUAGCGGCCGUUGGCAUUAACGGUGGACCAUGCGAUUGCCUCUUGUACUGGAUGAGAUCGAUAUUUACUUGCCCCAUCUUUUUUGGGAUCCAUCCAAAGCCCCUAGGAGCCUCUCUUUUGCAUUUGAUUGGUGGGAGAUUAGAAAUGUGUUCUUGCUAACGUGUUGUGAUGGAAUUGGCGAGCACUUGGUUCUUGCGUUAAAAUACAUAUAAAAUGAGGAAAGAUUUAUUGUAUAUAUAUUUUUUACCGUUCUAUUUCACUAAUAAAAGUCUUUCAAUUUUCGUGUGAAAUAAGGUUUGUGAUACGAAAAUUACAAAUUAAAAUUUAUAAUAUAGACUAUUUAGAUUAGAAUGUGACUGGACAGCCGUGAGUAGUCGAGUUCAAGUCUCACUGUUGGUUUGGGUGCAUGGGGGCAGUAUUAUCUACAGAUGAUCCGUAAGAAUUAUUAUAAGUCGCGUAUGAUUUGAUCUUGAAAUGGGAUCUUUCUUUUAAACUUUUUCUUGCAAAAAACCCCCGAAAACAAAAAAAAAAAGAAAAGAAAAGAAAAGGACACAGAUUGUAUCGGCCCAAUGCUUGGCCACCACGUAGAAACGAGUCACGUCUAAAUUACUGCUAGGAUCCAGUGUAAGAUAAUUUCCUUCCACGGCAAAGCUCCAACAGAGAGACGACUUUUUUUUUCUGACAUUUUCUUAAGGAAACUUAAGAAUUCGGCAAUAAAUCUAUUUCUCCGAGCAACCUCCAACAGAGAGACGACUUUGUUAGGAGAAAAUGCGAGAGAGAGAGAGAGAGAGAGAGAGAGAGAGAGAGAGAGAGAGAGAGAGAGAGAGAGAGAGAGAGAGAGAGUGUGUGUGUGUGUGUGUGAAUGAAUGAAUGAGGUUCAAUAAACAAAUUGAAGCUUGGCUUGUAUCUACAAACUUCAUUCACAAAAUCAUAUGCCCUUACUUUUUUGUUAGGUACUACUUCCUUAAAUUCUUGCAAAUGAAUGUAGCAUGAUAUUAAGCUAUGCCUAAACCUAAUUUUUUUUUUUUUUUUAAAAAGGUCGAAGUCGGAUACGUGAGCAAGGAAUUUGAUGAUGAUUCGCAUGUUUGUCAAUAUGUAAAACAAUACAGCAAAAGUCAAUCUUCUAACUCAACCAACAACUUAAAAGAAUUGUGAUAGCUACUUAUCUUCAUUUGGGAGGUAUCUGGGAUUAGGUUUAACCACUGAUUCUUAAAAAUUUUUGACAAAAAAGAAAAAAAGACGCAGGAGAGGUAUCUGGAGUUUGUUUAACAUCUAGUAGCAGUUUCCCUAUUAACUUUCCCGUAGUCCCACAUCGCUUUAAGGGGGUUUGGGGCUUGUAUAGAUAAGUCCCCAAGUUGACCUUAGGAGUUACCACCAUGACUUUUCAGGUUAAUUUGGGAUUAGGUUUAACUACUGAUUCUUAAAAAUUUCUGACAAAAAAAAAAAAGAUAGCUACUUAUCUUCAUGAGCUGCAAGAAACUAAUCAAGAGAACAGCUUUUUUUCUUUUUGCCUAAAUCUUUAUUAUUAUUUUUUUACCUUCGUUAUCUUUCUUUUUAUGGGUUGUUAUCUUUUUUCCCCCCUUUUGGCUGGUGGGUGACCAUUAUGUAUAGGAAGAUAGGAUUUACGUAUUCACAACAUAAGUCUGUAGACAAAAAUUAAAAAGUAAAACAUUUUGGUCACUUUCAGAGUGUGAAAAAGAUUUAUCAUCACUCGUUGGUGCUUCUUUUUUUUUUUUUUGGGGGUAUAAUUUAAGAUAUAUAAUACCAUAUUACCAAAACAAGAGAAAAAGUGAUAUAGACAUACAGAAGAUUGAAAAAGUGACAAAGUUAUGGCAAGUGAGAAGGAAAUGUGAAAGUGAAUUGUGGCCGCCUUUCUGUUGCACACUAGAAUCAUUGUGUGAUUCGCAUGUCGUCCGAUAAAUAUACAAACCCAAACGAUUAGGCACAUAAAUAUUUGUGGCUUGUGGGUUCCCUCCCUCAGAAACAAAACAAAUCUCCAUAGGCAUCAAAUCACCAUGGUCCUCUUAUGUCACUUAAUGCUGUUUCAUGCUGAUAUUGCAGAAGACAGCACAGGCGAAUUAGUGGCAACCAUUCACUUUUUAGUCACUUUUCAGAAAAUGUCAUCGAUCGCACAAACUGUUAAAGAAUGGUGGAGCUAAUUAAAGAGAAAAACAGUCAGUUGAAAAAGUUAUUUUGCUGACUGAUUUUUUGUUUUUUUUCAGGAGUACUAGUAUUAUUUGCCAAUUUGACAAUCAUCAAUUCAUAUAGAAUGAUGACGAUAAGUUAAUUGCACGAGAUGGAUAUCGUCAACCUGGGAUUAUAACUAAAACCCAGGAAAGCAGAAGAGAUUGUCAUCUGAUUUUAUUAAGAUGUCUACAACUUCAAAGGAGUUGUGUUUAGUCAGGUUGCUUGCGCUUUCAAAGAUUAAGGCACACUAAACCCUGGUGAAGUUCCGUUGGUUGGUAAUACACCAACCUCAAAUAAAGCUUUUCCAAAAUUAUAAACUACGUACGUCCUCAACCUGUAGAAUAUCCUCUGUGAGUUACGUCUAAUGUAAAUCAGUCACAAAACCAUUACUAUAUCAUAACGACUUUGUAACUGUGGGACUGACUGUUAACCAUAGGGCUUUAAACCUUUCGCGAUGUGAAGCAAACACCUUGCAUGUAACUAAAAGAUUAGUGCUAUACUGAACAAAACAUCAACAUCAGAUUCCGAUUCCAAAACGAGUAGUAUAAAUUCGAGAAUUAACUUUACACUCUGAAAGAGAGGAAAAAUAGAGAGUAACUAUAAAGUCGGGCAUCUUCCUCUUAAUUUUUGUCACUUAAUUCGCUUAACUGUGGUUUUAUUUUAUAUCUUUUUCCUAACUACAAAAUGAUUUUUUUCCUCGAUAGUACGUUAUUGGCUUUUGGGACCGAAGAACAACAUUAAAGCAUCUUCAGGGUUUUAAAUACUACUCUCUCCGUCCCACUUUGAUAGUCCUGUUUCUUUUUUCACACAGUUUAAGAAAAAGUAAUUAACUUUGUUGGAAAAGUAAAUUUAGAUUGUUAUUUUUCAAAAAUACCCUCACAUUAAAUAUGGUACAACUUUAUGGGAACUUGAAUUGAUGGUAAAAGAAGAAUCAACUCUCAUUAAAUGGGGUAAGUUUAUAGUAACAACUAUUUACAUUGAAUAAGGGUAUUUUAGAAAAAUUAAAAUACAACUACAUUCUUCAAUUGGAAAGUGGACUAGAAUUUGGGACAGAUGAAAAAGGAAUACAUGACUAUCAAAGUGGGACGGAGGGAGUAGUAUUUAACAACAUACUCCCUCUGUCCCACUUUGAUAGUCCUGAUUUUUUUUUUUUUUACACAAUUUAAGAAAAAGUAGUUAACUUUGUUGGAAUAAUCAAUUUAGGUAGCUAUUUUCCUAAAAUACCUUCAUAUUAAUUAGAGUACAAUUUUAUGGAAAUUUGAAUUGAUGGUGAAAAAAAAAUCAAGUCUCGUUAAAUGGGAUAGGUUUAUAAUAACAACAACUUACAUUGAAUAAGGUAUUUUAGAAAAAUUAAAAUACAACAACAUUAUUCAAUUAGAAAAUGGACUAUAAUUUGGAACAGACGAAAAAAAAAAUAUGACUAUCAAAGUAGGACGGAGGGAGUAUUUAACAACAUACACGAAACUACUUAAAGCCUACUAUUCGAUCUUCCACUGUUAAAAUUUUCAGGAAAUGAAAUUCGAACCACCCCCCCCCCCCCCCCCCCCCACCCCCAAAAAAAAAACGAAAUAAAAAGCUUACCGGAAGAGUUGAUUAGAUCGGGCCACCGGUGAACUCUUGCCUUCCCAAUUCUCAUCGUACACAAUAACCAAUGCCGGUCUUUGCUGAAACUGUUACUGUGCUAGAAAAGUAAGCCUAUGAAAUGGGCUUCCCUGUUCUGAGUUUAGUCUAAGCAUACUGCAUCUCUUUUGUUCUUUGGGCCAAUUUUAAGCCUCAAAACGGGGGCAGCUCAUGUUUUAAGAGUCCCAGCGUUAACGUUCUUGGACUGUCUGGGUCGAUCUCUGGGCAACCCUUCGCUGUUGUCAAUUGAAUAUUGAGGUCUUGAGCAUCCAACGUUGGUUUAAAUGAGCCCAAUAACUGAAAGGUGUAGUAGCAUGCAUAUAUCAUAGUCAGUAUAACUGUAUAAGUUAGGUGGUUUUAGGGAUGUUUUUAAAAAAUUUGUAUUUACAAAAAAUUUUUGUUCGUAUAGUAGUUUUGGAGAUUUCUUUAGAAUUUUGAAUUUUUUUGGAGAUACUUUUGGCUUUGUUUGGAUAGUGUAGUAUUAUUCCAAAUAAUUAUUUGGAAUAAUUACUGUUAUGAUAUGAUGUAUGUGGGGAUAAAAAGUGAUUGAAAAUAUAAAAAGGUGGAUUGAGAAAUGUGUUUAUAAUACAGUUACAAGCGAAGAAUUUUUUUGAAAAAAUUUGCUAUCCAAAAUUUUAUUCCCCUCCUUUCCCUCUCUCUCUCAGUCUCGCGCCACUCCUCCCUCUUCUCUGCCACCUUCCCAUUCCGUUGCCUCCUUUAUCCCAACCACCCUCUUUUUUCCCCCCUUCUCUUCUCCCUUCUACUGCUUCCCUCCAGCACCAUUCCCCCCACCUCCUAUUGGGGAAAAGGGUGGUAUUUUUAAUAUUAAAAAUUCGCUUUUGUCAAAUACACCGAUUCAUAUUGACCCACAAAAGAUUCAUAAUAGCCAAUUAAAAUAAAAAGAAUGAAAACAUAAAAUCUAUAAACGAACUUUAAAUUUCCUAAUUCCAAUCAAAUAGUCGAGUUUAGGUUCUUCUUGAUCCUUUGGAUCCACUCUUUCCCUUGUCCAUCAGUCGGAGCAGAUUACUCAAUACUGUAUUAAAAAAAAAAAAAAAGGAAUAAAAAUAAAAGUGGUCAUGGUUGGGAAGUCUGAAAUGGACCACUGCUUGUCUAUUCUAAGGUUUGAUUAGGCCCAAACCAAUUAAUGCCGCUGAUAUUUGUUGUCUUUUCAAGUUUUAUUUCCAUCUAAGGUUGCCUAACUGCUCGGGUGGAAAACUCCCAUUCUGGCACGAAUCCAAAAGAUAGGUAGGGCGACGCUCGUUAACUUAUAAUAAUCAACUUUUUGGUUGUUCCUGCGGCUGCUUUAGGAGUUUUCCCCUGCCUUUGACUUCUACUUUUAGCUUAUAAUAUAUGACGCUGAAAAAAAAGCUAUAUAUUCAAUUUCUCAAAUAGAGAGUUUUUAGAAUCAUUUUGUCCAUAAUGGAAUUGGUAUAAAAUCUCGAAAGCUACCAACAACAAUGCCCAUAGCGAACUAUUUAACCAUCCCCUGGUUUGUGGCAUAUUUAUACGAAUGGAGAUCCAUAAUUUUUAGCACGCUUCUUCAGUUUAAGUGUCCAAAGAAAUUACCCUCUAAAUAAUUGAUCCAAGCAAGCAAAAGACGAAGUAAAAAGUUUGUCAAUGCCAAAUGCACCCCAAAAAAAGUAAAGAAAAAAAAAAUCAUGCAGCACCAAAUUCAGCUGUCCAUAAUCAAUUUUGCUGCUGGGUACGUCCGUUGGUACGUAGGUUCGGUGACGUUUGGCUUGAAAUGGGAUGGCUCGAGCUUAGUUUCGGCUGAUUAUUUUAAUUGAUUACAGGUUUUAAUUUUCGAUAAUUAAUUUUUUUUGAUGUUCUCACUUGAUUAUAUAUUUUUAGUAAUAUAAACCUGAAAUACAUAAUCUACCAAAAAUAACCUUUACUAAUUUUGAUUGUUCUUUGUAAUCAUUCGUCAUAACUAACUUAGGCAAAAUCUGAUUCCCAUCUUGUUCUAAUUUUAACGGAGAAUGGAGACUCAAAAUAAUGAAACACCAAACAAAUGUAUCACGAGGCAGAAGCACCGAUCUCAAUUUCGUCAUAAUUUCGUGCUGGUUAUGGAAAAUUCCGACUCAGUUUCAUGUAGUUACUAAGUUGUAGGCCAUCAAUUUCACAGCACUGGCUUUCCAAUCAAAAGGGGAAAUAAGAUGGAAAUGUUGCAGAAAUCGCCAAGAAUUCGACCCACUCGAUAAUCCAUGCCAGCAUUCCUUCGUCCAGGUCGAUGAUGCUAUUCUCCAUUUCGCCCUUUUCUUUUGGUCGUGGCUUUCUUACAUCACUUGGGGCCAUUGGUAAAUCACAGCUCAACGUUUUGACUUUUAAACAUAUCUUCUUUGUGGAGAAUACUAGUAUAGUCUUUUGUUAGGGCUUCACUGUUUCACCACGUGGCUUUGACGAUAAAGUCAGCCGCCCGCCGCCAUUGGUGAACUUGCUCCAUUCACAUUGAUCAAAAACUAGAGAAGUUGUUAGUCAGUAGCGAGACUUGGCAAUGAGUGGGUACAGUACCACCUUUGGUCAAAGUCAACGAUACUGACACAUGCAAUUGUGGAUUAACUGGAUACUUUACGUAAAACUUGCGGAAUGAAUUUAAUCCAAGAUUUGAGUUUGUCAAGAUUCAUUAACACGCUCGAUUGAAUUGGAAUAAGGACAAACGAAUGUUAACGAUAAAUAUGAGGAUCCAAAUUUAAACUAGCCUACAACAUAUGACUUGUUUUCUUUUACAAGUCCCGUGUAAUACUAUAAUGUACGGUAAAAAUACAAGAAAUUAAGGCUAUUUUCUCUGAUUACAAAUCGAACAAGACUGUCGCGGUAAAAUUAGCAUCUUGCUCGAAAAUAUUGUUUUUAAAAAUUUUUUAAACACAUUUUCUAAUAACAUUUAAAUCUCUUAUAUACCCAUAUGAAUAAAGUUGUUACGACCAAGUUAUAAGAGUUGUUUAUAUAGUGGAUCAUUUGCAAAAAUUCAAUUGAUUACAUAGUCAAUCACUUUUAUUUUUUAAAAUCUCAUAUAAAAAAUAUUACAAUAUUUAAAAAAUUUAUGUCAAAUAAUCUACUAUGCUCAUAGUACAUUAAAUGGAGUAAUUUAAGUAUAUACAUCAUUCAUAGCCUAACCAUCAAAUAUUUAGAAGCUACGUGAAUUUUCUACAAUUACUCGCUGUGACUUUAUAUCAUUUGAUGGUAAUUGAUCUAUGCAUCUACAUCGCUUUUGAACAUAAACGAACGCUGUCUUAUUCUUCUUGGUCGGAUGCUUGUGCACGACGAUCACGAGAGCCUAUGGAUAUGGUAGCCUUUCAUAAUGGGCAAAUUUGUGAAAAUACCACGUAAAAAGUAAAAGCCUCUUCAACCCGACCAUAGCCUUCGUUUCUUCUUCUUCUUCUUCUUCUACCUCCAAGUCCAAAAGUCUUCAACCAAGAAUACUCCCCCCACCCCAUAAACUGCUCAAUAAACUGCUCACACAAGAUACUCAAUUUUCAACACCGUUGAAAUCCACGCACAAGACGGACAAUUUGAUCUCUGAAGCUUUCCAACAAUUUGAAUGGCUUUCCUCAGCUCGAGUGGAAAUAUUACUAGAAGCACAACCACUGUCGGGAUGGACCCACAGUCGGCGGCGGAGAAGGCGGUGGGGGCGAUCGGCAUGGGGUAUGACCUCACCGCUGACAUCCGGUUAUCGGCUUGCAAAGAGGGUCCCAACGGUUCCCGGCUGAUCGAGCUGGACGACAGCUCCACGAAGGAGCUGGUGGUGCCCGGUGGAGUCGUGGUCCCUGGUGUGUCCACCUCCAUCAAGUGUGAUAAAGGUGAACGCACCAGGUUUCGCUCCGAUUUUCUCUCUUUUAGUCAGGUGAUGAAUUUUAUUUUAUUUUAUUUUUUAACAAUUGGCCAGUAGUUUUUCUCCUGUUUCCCUUCUUUGGUUUUUUAUUGCUUGGGAAGAAAGAAGUGGGAAAAAAUUGAUCUUUAAAAAUAUAUAUAUUUUUUGUCUACGUGAUCGUGGUUAUUUUUUUGUUUUGACAAAAAAAAAAUGCUUCUUUCCUUUUUUCCCCCCCCUUAUAAUUUCUUCUAAAUUUAGGUGUUAGAAUGAGUGGAAAGGUUUUCCAUUUUUGGAGAAUAUAAAUGCAUGUGGACUUGAAACCAUAUACUACAAAAAUUUUGAAGCUUGACUUACGGGAAUUGGAAAAAUCUAGGUGGCCCUUCACUUGUGCAUUAUUGGAAUAAUUAGAAUGCUGGACUAAGAGACACCAUUAUCUGAAUCACCAACAGGGAAAAAAGGAAAGCUGUCCGCUUGUGACGUUUAGAAAUUUGCAAUGCAGCUAUGGAAUCAUGAAGGCACAAAAUUUAGAGUACAGUCAGUAGAGGUGUUUGGCUGAAGGAGUAUAUUUAAACUUCUAAGUAUUGAAUUGCAAAGUAGUUUAUAUGUUGCAUAAGCUAGUAGUAAUACGAAUAUAUAGUCGUUGACACUAGUCUAUGCAGUCUUGAUCAUCAAUUGUCAUCAAGAGCGAAGCGAAUGAAGUAAAAUUCUAGAUGAACUAGCUGUUAGAUUCCAUAUGAAGAAAAGAUGAGCUAAACUUUUCUUCUGAUGUUUAUCUUCGCUUUUGAUGCGAAUUGUUGUUAAAGAUUAGAUAGGUGUCAUCCAGAAUUUGUUUGUAAGGUUAAGAUUCUGAACAGUAGUCCAGAAUGAACUUGUUUCAUAAGCAGCACUCAAAAAGUUCUAAUGAACCAAUGAACUUUGCAUAUUGAUUAAUAAGCCCGUGAUGUUUAUGCAAAUUUUCUGUUUAAAAAUAUCUUGUGUUCAGAUGUCGGAGCAAAUCAAUCAGGAAUUAUCUUUAUCUGGUAAAAUACCCUGUGGUCUAUUCAAUGGAAUGUUUGACUUCAAGGGCUGCUGGCAAAAGGAUGCAACUGCUACUAAAGGUCUUGCUUUUGAUGGCUGGUUCAUCUCCCUGUACAAUAUUGAGUUAUCAAAGUCCCAUGUAACUCUGUCAGAGCAAGUGAAACGGGAAGUUCCACCAUUUUGGGAUCCUGCUGCUUUAGCUGAGUAAGAUUCUUCAUCUGAUGAUCGUUAAUCUGGGGCAAUUUCUCAGUUGUGCCACUAGGAACCAAUUUAGUUGAAUACAGAUGCUGCUAUGGUCCUCUAAUGUAGAUGCAUUUUCAUUCCAUACUAUUCAUGAUCUAAAUAUUACACGCACUUGCUAAUGAUGAACAUAAAAUACUUAUUUCAAGCUAUUGGCUCAUCCGGAUUAUGUAGGACUGAAGUAUGUGACACGAAUAGAGAGCAUGGAGUAUUUCAGUAUUGCUGGACUUUAUUGAGUCAGUAAUCUGGUAGACAUCUCUCUUGGCCUGCUAUCUGCAAAGUGCUAUGGUUUAUCUAAUAAAAAAGUUAUAUACUGAGCAUUAAUUGCUAUUAAUAGCAGAAAUUAUUUCAGAAAAUUUUCUAAGAUGUUGGAGAUGCAAAAAUGGUAGAAACUCACCUCAUGCUAACCUCCAGGAGAGGAGAAAACAACGAUGAAAGGAUUAUAUUCCCAGUUGAAAAAGGAUAUCUUUUAUUUCUCUGUACUAUAUUUUCAUCUAUUGGUUUCCUCACCACACAAAAAAGGAGAGUAUGCCCGUCAAUCAUCUGCUGGAAUAUCAUAGAUGUUGAAGAUUAUUAACUGGAAAUCUUAAUGACAUGAAUUCAGAUUCAUUGAUAAAUAUGGAACCCAUGUUAUUCUUGGGGUGAAGAUGGGAGGUAAAGAUGUAGUGCAUAUGAAGCAGCUUCAAAGCUCAAAUCUUCAGCCAAAUGAUGUGCAGAAAUUGUUAAAGAAAUUAUCUGAGGAAAGAUUUUCGGAAACAGAUGGAAGCCUGAUAUCAAAUCCUGAAGGUUCUUUGGUUAUGCCAAAGGUAUGCAGAAUUUAAUUGGUGCCAAUAGCACACUGCUAGCCCUGGAUAUAUUUUUACCCUUCAGCUUUGUUUCUUUUUAUACUUUAGUGUGUGGUUAAGCUAUAGUUGGAAGCAAACACAAAAAAGAAACGUACUCAGAAAUUUAUACUAGUGGUUGAAUACAGCAUUUUGUGUGAGAAGCAAAAGUAGGAGAAGAACUGAAAUUGCAUUUUUAUCUUGUAGAAUGAAUGGUGACAGCUGAAAAAUGGUGAAUCCUUCAUGCAAGGCUUCUGUUUAUUCAGGGUUUUGCAAGAGUCAUUUACCGCUUGAUGAGAAUAAUGAAUGUCUAGCAUUAAGUUGUUUAGAUGGUUAAAAGAACAAAGAAAAAAGAUUGUCUGUCAUUGGAACUAAAGCAAUAUAGUCUGGUGUUCAUGUCAGAGCUUCUCCAAAAUGCAACUUGCACAUUAUGGCAACUACAGACAUUUGCUAAUGUGGUAAAUUGACAAUUGAGCAGGAGAAACAGUAGUGAUAUACAAUUAAAUUCGCAAAAUCACUGAAAGUUUAUUCAAACUGACUCUCAAAGGAAAAUCAUCAUGAUUUAAGUGUAAAGAAAGUAAUUAUCUGACUGUGCAGUUAGAUUUUUUCUUUCAGCCUUCCUUUUUCCUUGUGUAACUUAAAAUAGUACUACUAAACAAUGACUCAAGUUCCUAUCUGCUGGCAGGAUGAGAAGUCCGUUCUCUGGGACCCAUAUUCACUAUUUGCAAAUCCGUUAAGACCAGCAAUAGUUUCUCACACAAAGAAUGCAGUAACCUCCUAUCCUUUUCUUUAGUAGUUUUUAACUUCAUAGUUCAAAAUUUUUCUUCAAAAAUACCAAGUUGGAUUUUAUUGAUGAUGCUUUCUACUUUAAUGUAGGAUUUGUUAAGUAUUCAUAUACGGCGAGGAGGCGUCAACAAAGGCCAAAGUCAUGCAGAAUGGCUGUCAACUGUAUCACAUUCUCCGAAUGUCAUAUCAAUGUCCUUUGUGCCUAUUGUUUCGCUUUUGAAUGGUGUCAAGGGUAGCGGAUUUUUUAGUCAUGCAAUGAAUCUUUAUCUACGAUGUAAGUAUCUUAUAUUUAAUAUCUCAUUUUGCUCAUUGUGACCGUGUUGAUAGUUUCCUGCUUGAUUUCUUCAUCUUGAUGCAUGAAGAAUGGAUAAAAUGUGAGUCACAGCUAGGCAACUGUAUAAGUGAUACGAAAGAUAAUAUGUGAUUUCAGUGAGAAAAUUCCGGUAGAAUUUAUUUGCUAACAAGGAAAAUUCAUCAAGAGAAGUUAAUAUUUGUAUUUAUGAUUACAAGUUGAAGAAGGAAGCUUUUGUUAACUUUUUCUUUAGAUCACGUGGAAACUUGAGUUGCAGUUAAUGACCUUUUUAGUCAUCGUACAUUUGCUAACUUCUGAUUUUCUCAUAGGUAGCUUUUUAAAAUACUUUACCAUAUCUGGAGUUUAUGGCUGUACCUCUUUUGUGCCAUAUCUGUUUCCUUUUAUAGGUUCAAUUCACAUAGGUUAUAAAAAAAAGAAAAAAGAAAAAGGAAAGUGACUGGAAGAUCUGAAGAGGGAGGGCUGUGGUGUGGGAAAGAGAGGAAGGGAACUAGGGGAUUUGGAAGACAGGCUUGUUAAAUUUGAAUUUGAACUUAACAAACAUGUCUCUAGCUUUUUAGCUGAAAAAAAAUAGACAAACAUCCUAACUCUUUGCACUUUUGUAAAAGAAGUCUCAGAGAACAACUUCUAGCUUCAUGAUGAAAACUUUCCCAUAUUUUAGCAGAUUGUGGCUAAGAUGUCCUGAUUUUGUUCAUGUUUAUUUUUCAAAUGUGGUCAAGCUUGAUGGAUACGUAUUCUGAUACUUUGUGAUACAUAGGGAUCAAAAAUACUAUGUGAUACAUACAUUGGAUUGGAAUUCAACUAUUUCAAAAUUCGAUAGGCCUCUCAUUCUUCUGUUCAUCUUAGCAUGUUCAUCAUAAGUGAGAUAGACUUAUUUAUACCUUACUAAAUUUUGGUUCUAGUCGGUCCAUAAUUGAGACGAAAGCAACUGGUUCUCUAACAUCAUUCUUCUUUGCAGACAAACCUCCUAUAGAGGAACUCCAACAAUUUUUAGAAUUUCAAUUACCUCGUCAAUGGGCUCCAGCGUACAGUGAUCUUCCACUUGCUCCUAGGCGGAGGAAGCAAGCAUCUCCAGCACUUCAGUUCACGUUUAUGGGUCCUAAGCUUUACGUAAACACUGUAAAAGUAAAUUCUCAGUUUCUAUUAUGCUUCUCUAUUUUGACAAAUUUUAAUGUCGCAAAUGAUAUUUACCCUUCCUCAGGAAUAGUAUUUCAUUUUUGCAAAAUAUAAGUUGCACUUUCAUAGUUGGUUGAGAAACUUUAGAAUGGACACCUAUUUAAUAAUAGAAUGCUUUUUCUCCAUCAAAGACCAAACAAAGGAGACUUAACUGAAGUGAUACUAGAGAAGAGAUAAAUAGCAAGUAUGUCUUUAGGAAGUUCUAAUACUGUAACCACUUGUUUGGACCUCAUUUUAUGGUAAAUGUUUCUUGGCAUUCACUGCUCUUUUGAUUUUAAUUUGACUACUGCUGGUUACAUCUGAUGCUUUAUUGGUUAAUGCUAAAUUAAAUAAUACUGUCCAAUACAACUAUAUUCCUUAUCAGUUUUACAUUACUGAAUCAUCUAUACAAUUCCUUGUAAAUGCAUUUAGUAGAAAUAUUUCUUACUAUAGUGUAUUUAUGGGUGACAUCUCUGUGUCGAUUCUCCUUGUAAUUUUCUUACAAGCAUUGCGUUGGAAAUGAACUGGGGUUAAUUUUGAAUACCAUUACCCUGCAUCAAUUAAGGCUGCAAUAGACUUGAUUGCACUGAUGGGAACAAUUUUUAAUUUCAUACCUUGAUAUGAUUAAGUCAUAAACCUUGCUGUAUCUGUGGAAGUACUUCAUUCUUCCUCCUCAGCAUGAGGGGGAUUUAAAAUUAAUCAGAUAAAAUGAUUGAAUUACUCUUCAGAGUGAAAAAAUUGAGUUUCCAGUGAUUUGAUUUGGUCAUACGAGAACUGAGUAACCGAUGUUUUGAUAAUAUUUUCCUUAGUUAUUAACAGCAUGUUUUGUUGAGGGCCCAAUACACCAGGAAACCAUUCCUAGUGUCUAAGCAUAUUAACCUUGCUGUAUCUGUGGGGGGUUUUGGUGCUCACGUCAAGAGUAGAGUUGGUUCUGCUCCUUUGGGGUUUCUAACUUAUAAAUUUGUAGGUUGAUUCAGGGAACCGCCCAGUGACUGGUAUUCGCUUGUACUUGGAAGGUAAAAGAAGCGAUCACCUGGCCAUUCAUCUGCAGCAUCUGUCAACUCUUCCAAAUACCUAUCAGCUGACAGAUGAUCAUAGUUAUGAGCCAGUAGAUGAGCCAGUUGAGCGAGGCUACUUUGAACCAGUCAAGUGGAGCAUAUUCUCACAUGUUUGCACUGCUCCAGUAGAGUAUCGUGGCACACGGAUUGAUGACUCUGCUUCUAUUGUGACAAAAUCAUGGUUUGAGGUAAAAAAUGUUGGAAUGAAGAAGGUCCUUUUCCUGAGAUUUGGGUUCUCAAUGGUGGCAUCUUCAAGGAUACGGAGGUCAGAGUGGGAUGGACCAUCUACCUUGUCUCGAAAAUCAGGAUUAAUUUCAAUGUUGAUGAGCACAACAUUCAGCGCAGGGUUGGGUCAACCUGAUAAACCAGUGAAGGUGGAUGUGAACUCUGCAGUUUAUCCUGGAGGGCCACCCUCACCUGCAAGAGCUCCAAAGAUGACAAAUUUUGUUGAUACAAAAGAAAUGACAAGGGGUCCAGAGGAUUCACCUGGGUACUGGGUGGUUACCGGAGCAAAGCUUUGUGUAGAGGGGGGAAGGAUAAGAAUCAAAGUGAAGUAUUCUCUUCUGACCAUAUUGUCAGAGGACUCUCUGUUAAUAUGAGAGCAUAGGAGAGGCAUGCGCCAGAUUAGUCUUAAAAUUUUCAUUGCGUUCCUUGGUUGCCUUCUUUUGGGAAUUAACCUGGUCAAAAAAAUCCCGGUUUUGUAUAUAAAUUUUUCCAAACGCCUGGGGGCAGCGAUCCAAUGUAUUUGUUGUACAUUGUAAUUUUUUCGGCAUGACCGUCUUCAUUAGCCUUCAUGCUACAUACUGAAACCACUAGAAGUCGACUAGUUUUGAUUGAGAGAUGAGAUUUUAUUGUAAAGUGUGCAGGAUCUAGUUAUGGUCGUGCUUUUCCUGAGUUUAGAGCCAACCAAAUUACUACUUCUUUACUGCCAUAGCGUUACUUGCAAGUAGAUCAUUACAUGUUGGGAACAACGUCAAUGAUGAUGAAUGCUAAUAAUGCAAGGACAUCUCUCUAUUAUGGAGAUGAAAUAGAAGGAGUGCCUGGAUAUCACAAUGCUAUUAACCUGUCAAUAAUGCCAAGUCUCAUUUAUCCUUCUUUCAUCAGAAAUUUCUAUGAGGUCAUGCGUUUUUCAUUAAUCAGUCUAAGCUUGAAAACCUCAAAGUGAAAUACGGCAAUGAUCAACCUGGUUCGGAAGAACUGCAUCAACCGUUGCCUAAUCGAGGUCACUACGAAAAGAUAGGAGAAACUUGAAAGCAUCUGAUGCAGAUGGGAAGUAGCGCUUCACACAAUUGACAGCAGGAAAAGAGAAUGUGAUCUUCAGCUGCACUGAAAAUAAUAAUAAAUCCAGACCCCAGCCACAACACAAAUUAAGUGGACAAAGAGAACAGUAGGGGGCUUCUCUUGCCCCUAAAUGUCUUAGUGUGUAACUACAUCGCCUAACAAAAUUUUCUUUUCUAGCGAGUGCUCUGACCUUCUACAAGAAAAUAGUUAAAUGGAUGCAAAAAUUGAAAAGGCUUUCACCUUCCCUUUGAAUAUAUCUCAAAAAAGAAUAGUCUUUUUGGAGUUGACUUAUUUUUCUGGGACAAAAAAGAAAUCAAUCACCGAUGCUGCUCCUUAAUCUAUACUACCAGUAAUCCCCGCAAGAACAAGAUCCAUCACUGAAAUGGUGGAACCGAUUGUUAUCUCUAACUAUAAUCUCCCGUGAAACUAUUUUACAAAUGAACUUGAAUGCUGUAUGACAGUCUAAACAAAUCCUAAUAUUCUUUUUCACUCUAAUGGGAGCUCCUGGUGGAGUUGCAAUCAGUGCAAAAGCUACUGCAAGCUUCUCACUGUGGUGGGAAAGAAGAAGCUCCUUUACUUCCUGUUCAACGUCAUGGAGGUCAGUCUCUAUCAUGGGAACAUAGCCAGCUCUAGCCAUAACGUCACCCAGCUCCUGAAGUUUAGCAUAUAUUUCCUUACUUCUUGAGUGGCUUUGAUCUCCAACAAUAAAAGUGUAAAUCUUGUCUUUCACUUCUAUCCAACUUAUCCCUGGCUCUUUUUUCACAUUGUUUUCUUUCAUUAUUCUUCUCACUUUUGCUACAUUUUCCCAUGAUCCCACUGAUGCAUAAAGGUUUGCAAGAAGAACGUGUGUACUGGAUUUUUCUGGUUCAAGACUCAAAAGCAUCUCAGCAGCAUUUUGGCCCACCUCUACAUUCUUAUGGAUUCUUGCAGCACUAAGAAGUGCUCCCCAGAUCCUGGCAUUAGCUGCAAAAGGCAUCUUAUUUACAAUAUCCAUUGCGUCCUUCAAUUUUCCUGCUCUUCCAUGGAUAUCAAUCAUGCAGGCGUAAUGCUCUUGUGUUGGCUGAAUCCCAAAUGACUCUUCCAUCAUUGCAAAGUACCUUUUAGCUUCUGUUACUAGACCAGCGUGAUUACAUGCACAAAGGACACUAACUAGCGUCACAUGAUUAGGAGGUACACCAUCUCUAAGCAUCUCAUGAAAUAAUAACAGAGCUUUCUUUCCAUGCCCAUGUUGAGCAAGUCCUCCAAUCAUGGCAGACCAUGAUACUAUACCUCUCUGAGAAACUUCAGAGAAUGCACGAUCAGCAUCCUUUAAACUCCCACAUUUGGCAUACAUGUUAACAAGAGAAUUCCCUGCAAAUAUAUCUGACACAAAUCCAUAUUUCAAGACAUGAACAUGGACUUGUUUUCCCUGCUCAUAUGCUGAUAGAUUUGCACAUGCAUUCAGGAGAGAAGCGCAGACAAAUGAAUCUGGCUUGGCAUUUGCACCUUGCAACUUCUGGUAGAGCUUCAGGGCUUCUUCACCUUGUCCACACUGAGCAUAAGCUGUUAUGAUAGAUGUAAAUGAGGGUAAGUCUAUGGUAGAGUAUUCUUCAAAAACUCUAGCGGCAUCAUCUGUCUGGCUACAUUUCCCAUAGGAAUCAAUCAAACUAUUUGUGACAAAUGCAUCUGAUUGAAGCCCUGACUUCACAGAAAGAGCAUGGAAUUGCUUACAGGCACUGAUUGCUUGCAUGCUGGCAGUACAGCUCAAGAUCGCUACUAAAGUUGACUGGUUAAAUCCCAUUCCUUUCCUAGAUGUCUCAACAAAAAGCAUUAGACCCUCCAUGUGUGACCCAUUCUGUGUAUACCCAGAGAUCAUGGCAUUCACUGCAAUCAAAUCCUUCUCUGGCAUCGAAUCAUAAACUAUCCUUGCAUGCUCAGCUAAGCCACACUUCGAGUACAUAUCAAUAAGUCCAACACUCACAAAUGAAUCCAUUGAAUUCAUUUUUAACAGCAGAGAAUGCAAUUGUCUGCCCAAUUCUUGGAGCCUGAGUCCAGUACAAGCUUUGAGAGCACUUGACAAGGUGAAUACAUUUGGCCUUAUUCCUGAGCUCGUCAUCUGCUGAAAAAGCUGCAAGGCCUGGUCAUGAUGUUCAUGAAGAGCAUAUCCAGCAAUGAUGGAAUUCCAGGUAACUAUAUCUGGGUGGUUGAUUUCCUGGAAAACGGCACUUGCAUCUUCUAGACUUCCCAGCUUUGCAUACAUGUCAACAAGUGCAUUCAAAGAGAAUGGAUCAUAAUCAAAAUUUAGUUUAAUCAAGUACCCAUGAAUUUUUUGCCCUUGACCAAUAUCUCCUAAUCCAGUGCAAGCGUUUAGUAGAGUUGACAAACUGAACUCAUCAGGCAUAGUGCCACCAGCAAUCAUUUCUUGAAACAAACCCACUGCUUCUCCAAACCGAUUGAUUUGCGUGAAGGACGAAAACAAUGCAUUCCAAGACACGACGUUCCUUUCCGGAAUUUCAUCAAAUAACCUCCUAGAAUCCACGAAUUCACCACAUUUUGAAUACAUAACAGCCAGGGUAUUUGCAACAUAAACGUGAGACUCAAACCCCGAAACCACCACAAUGCCAUGAACCUGUAUCCCUAGCACAAAAUCCUUACUUAUUGAACAUGCUUUAAGUACGCUAGGCAAAGCAAAUUCAUUACUCUUAAUACCCAAAUGAUGCAUCCAGCGAAAAGCCAAAAGGGCUUCUUUACCAAGGCCAUUUUGGGUAUAACCUGAUAUCAAAGAAGACCAGGAAACCGAGUCCGGUUCAGGACUUUCGUCAAUUAGUUUCAGGGCAUACGCAAAACGGCCACACUUGGAGUACAAAUUUAUCAAAUGGUUCCUAUGUGCUCGGUCUUCGUUUAAACCAAUUUUGUUUAAGUGAGCCUGGAUUCGGAGACCAGGCCCAAGAGACUUGGAUUUGCAGAGUUCUGACAAUAGCUUUGAAUAGGAAACAGAGGCGGGAUCAAAGGUGGUGCUUUCGUCGAAGUCUGAAAGUGAGAUAUUCUCUGCUCGGCUGGCUGAGUGAAAUUUGUAGGUGAAAAUACAUUCUGGGAUUUGCUUGAGGAAUUCAAAAGGCUGGUGAAGCCGUUGGUGAAGUAACUUUAGCAGGGAACUUUGGCGCCAAAUCUUGGUCAUGGAACUCAUGUUCCAUCUGGUCGGAUAUCAGAUUACUUUACUUAAUAUUGCUUCAUUUUUUUUUGUCGAAAUAAAAAUUUUUUUUAAACUUAAUAUUGCUUCAUUUGCCUUAGCCUUUGGACAACUAAAUCCUAAUUUGUUGGUUUCUUGGGAGAAAAAAGCUUUCUAAUUUUGAGUUGACUCCUCGAAUUCAAAUACCUCCAAGGAAAAAUUGCUCAAAACUCGAUUCGAUCAACUUAUGGCUCUCCGACCAAUCAAGAUCCAAGCAUCCAUCACACUUAAUCAAAUGGAAGUCAAUGCAUGAAAGGUUUUUUUCCCCCCCUUUUUUUUUGGCCUUUAAUCCAAGUCUAAUUUCAUGGACAACAGUUCUGUAUAUAUAUUUUUUACCCAGAUCAAUCUUUUCUCAAUGAGUUGGUGGUACAUGUUUAUUUAUUCAGUUUUUUUGUGGCUUUUAUUCUUGCUCAGCGUUGCGUUACUAUAGAUGCAGCAUCUAAAAUGAGUUGUUUUCUGUUUUUUCUUUUCCCUGUUAAUACAGAAUUUGCUGACAUUUGACUUGUAAAACAGGUUGGCUACGCUUAUAUCAACAACUCAUGGUGAUGAUGCAAAUUGAACCCUGCAUAUAGUUUUGGAAAAAAGGUUGGGGUUAGAAAGCAGUAAUCUUGCCACUACUAUGCAAAAAGAUGAUUGAUUGUCUUUUCUCACCCUUCUCUUUAGAACUCUUCGAAUCAAGAUUUUCGUCAUUUUUUUUCACGGGAGAGAAACCAAAUCUGAUCUUUUUCCAUUGGAGAAAGUACUCUUUAUAGUUUUUAGUUUCUCUUAUUUGAAUAAAUUCUCUCUUAGAAUUUUCUAACGGGAGAUUCUUCUUUUUUAGGAUCUUCUAGUGAGAGUUUUUUCUUUUCUAGAUUGUUCCAGUGAAAGUUUUGAUGCUCUUCCAAAUUUUUUCUUGUAAGAGUUUUUUAAGUUUUUAUUUUUGUAAAAUUUGAUAUUUUGUAGAUCUAGAAUCUAGUUUGUCGGAUCUUUAAUUUCUUCAUUAUUAUCAGAUCUAAAUUUCUCUUUGAACUUGAAUAAGUUUUAAUCAGAUAAGAUCGUCAAGAGACAUGCACUAAUGUAUUGAGUUACAGUGAUUCACCCGAAUGGAAGAUAUAUAGAAGCAUCAAUGUUAUAUUUAUUUGUAUUGUUUUCUUAGAUCUGUCAUAUCUAUUUGAUUUCAUAUCUAUAUGUAUUGUGCCAUGUUUGUUUGAUGUAAUUUUUGCCAUUAGUGCAGAUUUAUUUGAAUGAAAUGAUCUUUUAUAUAUAUAUAAAACGCACAGCAGGCUGGUUUACAAAAUUUGAUUAUUUCCAAUUGCGUCUCAAAUUUACGAGUUGAUGGUGACUUGCUUCAGACUCCUCAAGUAACGUUGGGAAAAUCUUCAAAUUAAAGCAAAGCAGACUAUUCAAGCCUAGGAUUCGAACGUUAAUCAACUUUGAAGUCUGAACCAUGGAUUUACUACUAAUAAUAAUAAUAUCAUAAUAACAAAAUGAUCCCAGUACAAGCUUUGCAGGCGGGACUCAAGGAAAGAAAUCUGCUAAACCUGCUGAUUGCUUGAGAACUUUGUGCAGAGCUGCAAGAUUCCCAUCCCCCCGCACCCCCCCCCCCGCCCCCCGGGGCCACGUCAAGUCAAGGUUGCAGUGGAAGGCCAGGAGGUGUGCGGGUGGAAAUGCUAUGAAGGGUGCGAAAGAAGGAAGGAACUUCGGUCGACUUCUAUCUAAUGAUCUUGAGUGAAUGUUUAUUUUCCCAAAUCCAAAUUCAACCAAAUCCCUCAAUCCGAAUGAAUUGGAAUUACAAAGCAAGCAGGUGUAACAUUAACCCUUAAUACACCCUAUAAUAACAAUAGCGUCUGAAAAUGGGAAAGUACUUCCUUCAAAAAAAAAAAAAAAAAAGGGAAAGUAGAUUUAAUUGCACUUGAGAUCCCCGGUGACAUGUUUUCUAUUUGGGAUCCUCGGUGACAUGUUUUUCUAUGCCAAUUCAAUGCCAUCUAUAGUAUUGUGCCAAGUGUCCCGUUAUUAUUUACACUUUAAUUUUUUAAUAAUUCAACUUGAUUUGGUUUAACACAAGUGUAAAUAAUAACAGGACAAUUGGCAUAAUAUUAUAGGUGGUAUUGGAUUGACAUAGAAAACAUGUCACCGAGGAUCCCAAGUACAUAUUUUCUAUGCCAAUCUAAUGCCACCAAUAGUAUUGCGCCAAGUGUCAUGUUAUUAUUUACACUUUAAUUUUCUAAUAAUUUAAUUUGGCUUGGUUUAACACUUUAAUUUUCUAAUAAUUUAAUUUGGCUUGGUUUAACACAAAUGUAAAUAAUAACAUGACACUUGGCACAACACUAUUGGUGAUAUUGGGUUGGCAUAGAAAACAUGUCACCGAGAAUCCCAAGUGAUUUAAUUGAUGCUAAUUGGUAGUAAGUCCUCCACGUGUACAAAGUGUUGCAAGAGAGCUUCGGAAAGAAAAAAAAUGUGAAAUCAGCACAUCACAUCCAUUUCCGUUGAGAUGACCUAUGAGAAUUGAAGACUUUUUUUGUCCGGCCGAUCAAUUGGUAGGUAUAUAGCCAGCAUCCACCGCCAAACUAUGCCCCGUAACAAAGACAGAGUCAUCACUUGCCAAAAACAACACCGCAUCUGCUACAUGUCUGGCCUUCAGAAAUCCUGAUUUCUUGAUAGCGAACUCAGCCUCAAAACACCUCUCCGUGUCCUCCGCACUCAUCUGAAGCCGGCCGCAAAUCAUCGGAGUAGCCACCGGACCCGGCGCCACACAGUUCACCCGUAUCCCAUGCUCACCUAGCCCUUUACUAGCACACCUAAUCAACCCCUGAACGGCAUGCUUGGACAUCACGUAAUCUAUAGCCGCCCCGGUGCCAUAAUUUGCCAUAACACUAGCCGUGCAAAUUAUGCUUCCCUUAACGCCGCCCUCCACCAUGACACGGCCCGCGUGCUUCACGCACGCCGCCAUGCCGCGGACGUUGACGGAGAAGAGCUUUUCAUAAGCACUCAGAUCGAAAGUCAAGAUGUCCUGCAUGCAUUUGCUGACGAUCCCAGCAUUGCUGAACAUGAUAUCCAGUUGUCCGUGCCUCUCGACGGUUGAAUCCACGAGGGACUUGACUUGCUCCUCGUCCGCCACGUCGCACUUGAUGAACGUGCAGCAAUGCAGGCCGAUUGACUCGGCUACUUGCUGCCCUUUUUCCUCUUGAAUGUCCGCAAUCACCACUGCUCUUGCACCGUGCUCGGCGAAACGACGGGCAGUUUCCUCCCCUAGGCCGCUUGCGCCGCCGGUUACAAUGGCGACUUUAUUCUGCAGCUUCGCGAUUUGUGAAGGUUUGCUGAUCAUUUUUAACUGAACUGGCUGCUGCCGUAUAUUGAAUUGUUAUCCCUAAGCGUAUGUUAUAAGGGUGUUUUGGUGUUUGAUUUUGUGGUUAUCUUAGCUGUUUUUAGUGAGCAUAUCAUACCCAUAAGAUUAUGUUGUUAAUAAAACAGGUUAAUAAUACAUCUUAAGUUUCUUGCACGCAACUCUGAGUUUGUCAGUUCAAAUGCUCUGGAUCCCAUGCAGUCCAUGUGAGAAUAAAAUAUGAGUUCCUGCAUUAACAUUAACCUCCUUCAGACUGUCAUUUUGCUUUUGCUUUUCAAAUUCGUGGAUAGAAGUUGAUGGUUGUGCCAACUGCCAAGGACAAGGAGGACUCAGUUUUUUGGCAGCAAAAUUAUAUGGAAAUCGUGUGGUCGCCGGCACAGAUGACGGCAAAUCUUUUGAUGAGCUGCCCUCGUGCUGGUAGCCUAUAAAAAGUCUUUGUCCAGCAAGAUGCUCCUACUUCCAAGAGACUUUGGAUACGAUGGACUUGAAAGAUUCCGGUUGAGAUCUCAAGUGGGAUUCGUUGUUUCCAAAAAUAACCAAUAAAGAAUGAGAACGAUUGGCAUUAAUUGGGACCAAUGAUGACUUUCUGUGCUUUAAUUGGCUUUAAUGAUGGGUGUUAAUAUCCUUAACUAAUCGUGCUUUUCCUAAUCAAAUAUGGUGUUUUCGGGUGUCAUCCAAUGUGAACAGAGCCAAUUUCAUUGUAUACUGUUUACACUCGUCUUAAAGAACUGCACAAUCACCUGACAUGCAUUGAUUUUUCGGUUUAUGGAGGAUUGACUACUGAAAGAGGUGAUUCUCGUAGCACCAUUUGGCUGACCCAUUCACACAUUGCCCGUCGCCAUUUUCUAAUCCUUACUCAUCCCGCACAUUAGUGGGCAUCCGGUUAUCGAGUACCAGAUAAGACAGGAUCGGGUUAACGAGUACUCGCUACAUCUUGUUUAUCAUUUAAUUUUUUUUAAAAAAGAUUUAUACUAAUUUAAUUUAAUUUUUUACAUAUUCAUCAAAGAUUUAAUAAAAAAAAUUUUCUCAAAAAAAGUUUCUCACAGGAAACAAACAUGUGAAGAGAAUAUAAGAAAAAGAAAAAAAUUAAAAGGAUUCAAAAUCAAUGAAAAUUUGAACUAAGGAGCACCUUUUUUUUUAAAAAAAAUAUUCCACAAUAAUUAAACUCUUUUCUAAAAAACAUAAAAUCAUUAUGUCUACAAAUGAAUCUUGUAAAUAAACUAUAGUUUGUGGUGUAAUUUGUUCUAUGAAAUUACUUAUUUAGCUCUAAAUAUAUUAUUUUGUAGUACGUGUAUUAAAUAAAAACUAAAAAAAUAUAUAUGAUGGGUGGGUCGGGCGGAUUUUUAAUUAUGUAGUCAUAACGUGCCCUGCAUUUAAGCGAAUAUCCGACCUUUUUUGACUUGGUCAAAUAAUACAAAUUGGGUAUUCUAUUUUUUGAAUCGAAUUGGAUUGAGUAUGACUAAUUUUCAGAUUUAUGGAUAUUUUUGCCUACCCCUAAUGAUAGGUGCAGAAGAUGGAAAGCAAGAGGAACUAAAAGGGAUGCGCUGAGAUAGAAGAAAAUGAUAUGAUAGAAGCCAAAAAAGGGGUAGAUGACAGAUGUUGUAGCAAACAUGUCGAAUUCGAGUCAAACUUUUAUCUAAUUGAAUAGUCUCGACUCAAUUUUAUUAAAUUUGAACUCAAAUUCAAUGAACUCUCAAUGUAAAACUCGAGUUUGAAUUCAACCUCAAAUUCUGAAAUUCAGGUCAAGCUUUGAUUUAGUUGACUCACAAGUGAUUUGCUCAUUUGCAACCCUAUCCAACACCCCCUCCCCCUAAUAAAAGAGGCCCAGAAGACAUGGAACUGUACAGCAGCGGGGUUUACGUUUUCAGGUGGGUUGCAAAACAAUCAUGGAUAGAGAUAAUUUGUCAGGUUCCAUAACAUCUUUGCUCCUGGCUGCAUAACAAUUAUGGACACAGAUAAGCGAACCAAAUUCAACAUCAUCCUCAAACAGUGAGGAUAUACAUCUAAGUUAAAACCCACAACCUUACACAGAAUGAACAGUAUCCUCACUAAAUUCAAAAUCCUAGAAUGACUUGAAGUGCCAAGGAGAAGCUCCAAGUCCAAUAUGAAGAUGCCCUAAUGCCCUUUUCCUAGUUGUCAAAAAGAAAGAGCAGUGCCUGGUGAAGCGGGCAUUGGGCACCGCAUGUUAGAUGCUGUCUUUGGUUGUGCGGCAAAACCAAGAUCCUUGCUUCCUCCCUCCCAUAGAAGCAAGUGUAUGAUAUGAUAUGAUGAGCACCGUACCCAACAGGAAUACCAACCGGAGCUUCUUGUUUGCACAAUAAAUGAGGUAACUGUUGAAGAAAAAGUUACUCCCUCCGUCCCACUUUAAUAGUCUCGUUUUCCUUUUUCGUCUGUCCCAAAUUAUAGUCCACUUUCCAAUUGAAGAAUGCAGUUGUAUUUUAAUUUUUCUAAAAUACCCUUAUUCAAUGUAAGUUGUUGUUACUAUAAACCUAUCCCCAUUUAAUGAGAGUUGAUUCUUUUUUUUAUCAUAAACCUACCCCAUUCAAGUUUCCAUAAAGUUGUACCAUAUUUAAUGUGAGGGUAUUUUAGGAAAAUAGCAAUCUAAAUUUAAUUUUCCAAUAAAGUUAACUACUUUUUCUUAAACUGUGUGAAAAAAGAAACAGGACUACGAAAAUGGGACGGAGGGAGUAUGUAAAAUGAGAUGUUUGUAGUCUAGAAAUUGAUAAGUAAUUCCCACUUUAACCGUGCAGGAAAAGCAAGCCAGAACGGCCCUUUUGCAUUCGAGUCUUUAAACCACAUCCAAAAUCAGACACAAUAAUAUAGCUUUCAAUGCACAAUUUUAAUUUCUUAAAAUUGAGCACCAAUAAUAGUACAAUAACCAAGUUGAAUUUCUAUGAACACUGCUAAUGCAUGAGACUACUUUCAACUUGGACAGUGAAAGCAUUUAUAAUAACUACAUCAAUGUGCCAAUAGAGAAACAAGAGAAAUUUGUAAUUUCCAACAUCAUAAACUAACAACUCACUUUCAGAAUAUAAUAAUUAUUUGGCAAAAACUCGUGAUGCUUACUUUUAUAUCUCAAGCUAACUGCUAAUUCCAUCUCAACCAUGCAAAAAUGAAAUAGCCAAAUUGGUUCUUUGCAUCUCAGGUAUAUAAACAUAUCCAGAUUCAGACAUAUUGGUGUAACUUUCACUGCACAUAGAUUAAAUGAUUUCAAAGAACCACAAAAAUUGAGAUUAAAUAUAUAUUAAUCCUGUAGAAAUAGAUUAAUUAAUCAUGUAGAGUUAAUUAAUCCUGUAGGUGAUAGAUUAAAAAAUUGAGAAAUUUUUUUGCCUCUGCCACAGAUAACUUGAUAUUUUAUUCCCUGAAUUUUAGAAAUUUCCACGGUGUAGCCCUUGAAAUUCCUGCUCUCCUCGCAUCCAAAAACCUUCAAACUGUUGACCUUGUCUUUUCCCGCAUUCACUGAAGAUGAACUACGUCAAACUUAACAUUAUUCAAGCAAAUUGCUCCCAGAAAAUACAUCUGAAACCACUUUGCUAUUUUGAUGCAUGCAAAAUACGCUGCCAAAUGCAAAAGAGGAAGUCUGCUACAGCCACGAAACUCCUCAUGGGUAUUGAAACUAAAUUUGCUUCCAUUUUCUCCAUUUUGCACAGCAAUAAAACAAUUGACAGAAUCAAGUACAAAAAUCUGUUCCAGAAUCCAACUGGCACAUCUUUGCACUUUCAUGAAACUCAUCUAUAUAAUGGACAAAUUCAUCCUUGUCAUCAUUCAUAAGGGCACACUCAAUUUGAGUAUCCCAACUCAGGCACACGUCAUAAAAUUCUCCUGCAUCGUUCUGAUAGACAUAUCUGCCUGCUGAAAUCUUCCCCAUAACAGCGAUAGAAGGGAGCAUAAAUCUUUCUCCUUAGAAACUCAUCAUCAGUAAAGCAAAUGGAAGGCUUUUUUGGCAGAUUUGGAAUUGAGAGAGAGAGAGAGAGAUGUUAGCAAUAAUCCCUGUACUAGAAAAAUGGUUGGAAGUAUUCCCCAACGAAAAACCGAGUUUUAUAACUAAAUAGUUUUCAAAACGCUAUGGCACCAUUUUGGUAAAACAGUACCAAGCCUAACAAAAGUUUUCUUGCUUGCAUCAUGUUAUUAAUCACAAAAAGAACACAAAGAAGUCCCAAAUGUAUCCGUAAAUUUCUCCAACUCUUCAUUUCAUUGUCCCCCGGCCAGGGAACAGAAGUAAAACAUUCUUAGGAAAAAGAGAUCUUUUUCACUUUCUUUUCUUAUUAUUAAGUUCUCUCCUUGUUUACAACAUAAUCUCUUCCAAACCUUUUGGGUUCUCUCUUUUACCUGUCUUUGGUUUUCUGCUCUGGUUUUCAUUCUUUAUUUAGCUUAAUGAAUCUCUAACCCAUAUAUGUUCAAUUAAGGUGUAUAUAUGAAUGCUUUUACAUCAUUAACUAAAUAAAUUAGAAAUAGCACUUAUCAGCUAAGAAGAAGUUCUAGAUUUCGGAAGAGUUUCGAAAUUUUUAAAGUAAAUAUAAUAUAGAAAUCGACGAAUUGAUCAAACAUGAGAAGACUCAUAAAAGAAUAUGCUAGAUUUUUACCUCUUGCAUUUUCACACUAGAAAGUCCUCUCCUUUGCAACCAUACAAAGGCGACACCAGCAGUAAAAAUGAAAACUGGGGGGAGAAAAGGUUAAAUGUAAGCCAAAUGAGAGGGUUAGAAGAAAGGGAAGGGGGGGGGGUAUAAGAAUAAAAAAAUGCAGUAGAGCUCUUUUAUGAUUACAGAUAAAGUUUUAGCCUGCUUCAAAAAUGGAAGCUUGCCAGCCUCCGCCGUGAUGGCUAUCUUGUUUGGUUCCUCGCCGUGGUUGUAUUCGUAGUCGCCCUCAUCAAUAUCCUCUUCGUAAUCUUCCUCAUCCGUCUCGUCGUCUUCAUCAUCCGUCUCAUCUUCUUUGUAAUCCGCCUCUUCACUCCCUUUUGCAAUUUCACAUUUGAUUCUUCUGCGUUUCCAUCAAUCUUAGUUUCUGCCUCAAUGGUCCUCUUUCACGAUUCUUGAUCAGCUGGCUAUUUUCCCUUUGCUUGAACAUUCAGCUAAGCAGAAGCUAUCCUUCUAGGGUGCAAGCAAAACAAUUUAGCUAUCCACAACAUCUUUUCCUUAGCAGCCAACUGCAAUCUUUUGGCACUGACUGCCAUACUAACCUCUCUUUUACCUCAGCCUUUUUCCUUUUUUUUAAAACGGUAGAAGAAUUUCAUUUCACUGAAAAAUAUUACAAGUAAAGACUGGAUACGUGUCCAAAUAGGAGCAUCUAGGGACAAAGCCUCUAGAUCAUAAGGAUAACUGUGUAUCCAACAAACAUCAAGACGCAAUUUAGUAGCAAAUUUAAAUUACUCUAAAGCUAAUUUAAGACCUUCUUUCUUGCCUACAUCGAUUGAUCCUACUUGAAGUACUGUUAUAGCGCCAGGAUGUCUUCUAGCACUGUUUUAGUAGGCUAUCACUGGAGUUCCUUGCGUUCAGCAGUCCAUUGAGCCUUUUACAUCACUCGAUAUCUUAAUUUUGCACUAGCUCUGAUCCAUAGCUUUGAUUAUUGCAAAUUUAGUUGCUUUGGCUGGUUCCAGUUUAUAGAUCCUUCUUUGGUUUUAGGGAUUGCCCAAACAGCCCGAAGCUUCACUUCCCAAUCAGUUGCUGUGAUCCCUACCUACUCUCCUAUUGCUUUCCUUCAUUCCUUUCCCAGCUACUUUGAUGUUGAUUGUCAUCUAGUCAUUGCUUUUUGAUUCUUGGGUCCCUGCUAACAUUCUUUGCAGUUGAAACUCUGUUUUGGCUUGCUUUUAAGACCAUGUUGUAUUCAUUCCAAUCCUCCCAAGCUCUCUAUACUGCUUCAACAAAGUUGCCCUGUGACCAUUGAAUUGGAAACUGUUUCUUUCCUUCCAGAUUGUUCAUAGGAUAUUCACAGUCAAACCUAUAUGCUCAUCUCCCUCUUCCCUGUUUCUACUUGCCAUCAUCCCUUCCCACUAUCCCCAGAAUUCCACCUUUUUCCCAUCAAGCCCAUCCCACUGGAUUGGAGCGAAUUUCCAUAUUUCGAUGGCCAGUUACAGAACAUCACAUGCUCCAGAGUUUUAGCCUCAGUGUGUGUGCACCAGGGAAGGCCCUUCUGUAUCUUUUUGUAAAUUAGCUUAUUAGGGCAAAGUGCCUGUGAGGCAUUUCCAUAAAAAGUGUUUCAGUUUUUGCUUAGUUUUCAUACCUCAAAUCCCUUUCCAAAUUUUCUGGUUGUGCUUGUUUCUGCUGGUUCAUACUUUCAGGGAUGGGCAUGGGUCGGGUACCUGUCCCGUGCAUUAUUUGAUUGAUCCGACUAACAUUUUGCAAAUGAGUCAUUUUUUAACUUUUACCCAUCCGCAUAUUUGCAGGUAUCCGGUACGGGAUUGGAUUAAUGGGUACUCGCCCCGCCUUGCUUAACGGGUAUCCAUCCCAUGCAUUAUUUGAUUAACUCGAUCCACACUUUGCAGAUCAAUCAUUUUCUGACUCUUACCCACCCCACAUAUUUGCGGGUAUCUGGUAUGGGGUUGGAUCAAUGGGUACUUGUUCCCCUUGCUUAUUAUUUAUUUUUUUUAAAAAAUAAUUUGUACUAAUUUAAUUUUGUAUCUUACAUAUUCAUCUAAAACUUACAAAGAUUUUUUUUUUCUCAAAAAAAAAAGUCUACUCUCAAAAAACAAACAUACUUUUUGGGCUGGGUAUAGGUCAGGUACCUGUCCUAUACAUUAUUUGAUUGACCCGACUCAUAUUUUGCGGAUUAGUCAUUUUCUAACUCUUACCCAUUCCAUAUAUUUUCCUGGUAUCCGGUAUGGGGUUGGAUCACUGGGUACCCGCCCCGCCUUGCUUAUCGGGUACCCGUUCCGUGUAUUAUUUGACUGACCCGAUCAACACUUUGCGGAUCAGUCAUUUUCUGACUCUUACCUACCCCGCAUAUUUGCGGGUAUUCGGUAUGGGGUUGAAUCAAUGGGUACUUGUCCCGCCUUGCUUAUUAUUUAAUUUUUUUAAAAAAUAAUUUGUACUAAUUUAAUUUUGUAUCUUAUAUAUUCAUCUAAGAUUUAAUAAAGAUUUUUUAGUCUCCUCCCAAAAAACAAACAUGCAAUGAACAUGCCAAAAAAAAAAAAGAAAAAUUAAAAGAAUUCAAAAUCAAUGAAAAUUUGAAAUAAGUAGUACCUUUUUUUAAAUAUAUAUUCCACGUCAAUUAGAUUCUUUCUUAAAAACCAUAAUAUCAUUGCCUCUAUAAAUAAAUCUUGUAAAUAAACUAUAGUUUCCUAUAUUUGUAGCACAAUUUGGUCAAUGAAAUUACUUUAUUAGCGCUAAAAAUAUUAUUUUGUAGUAUGUGUAUAAAAUAAAAAAUAAAAAAUAAAUAUAUGUGGGGCAUGUCAGGUACGUGCAUGUUAUUAAUUAUAUAACUCUAACCCGUCUCGCUUAUAGGCAGGUAUUUGACAUUCUUUUGAUUCGGUCAAAUAAUGCGGAUCAAGUACUCUAUGUUUCGGAUCAAAUCGGAUUGGAUAUGCAAGGUUUUCUCAAAUCGAAUUGGAUAUGAAGGAUUUUCGGAUCAGUGGGUAUUUUUGCCCAUCCCUACCUGCUUCAUUCAUCUUUAUCUAAUAUAAGAAAUGGUGACAUAUUUGACUAGACAAAGAAGUUGGAUAGGAAACUUGGACAAAGGACCCGGUCCGAAAAGUGGAUAAUCAAAAGAUGGCGAGUUGGUGGUUUCGAAGGUUUUCUACCAAACACAGCCAAGACAAUGCGGUGGCUCGUCAAGCAUCUCAGAACUCGACAAAAGAUCAACAUCUUCUGUAAGCCACAGCCAUUUGAUGAAGAGUACGAGUAAUAACUUCAUUGAUUAUUAUCCACAUCCCUACAAUAUUUCGUAUAACUUGGGAAGCCAAAGUGGAGAUAGUCAUAGUUCAUCUCAGCUAAUUCCAAAUCUUGUCGUCCAUGGUGAUGGCUCAUCCUUUAUCCAUCUGCCUUCCAGUGUAAGCAAAGGCAAAUAAGGAGGUUGAAGUAGGGAAAAUAUACGUUCUCAUGCUACUAAGUUCAUACAGCGACAAUGACACUUUUGCUGGUGGUUGUUGCUUGUUUUAUAGUUGUGAAGCAUAAGUUAUCGAGCUUUACAAAUGAGGGAAGGCAAAUAAAGUUAUGUUGUUCUAUCUUUUUCUCGAAGAGUUGUCAGUUAUUCUUUGAUGUCAUUAGCCUUAUACAAUAGGUAAAGAAUCCUUGAAUUUUGUAGUUUUGGUUCUUAGGAAGAAUUAAUAUAUGUUUUAAAUGGUUGCUUGGAGUCCUUAUAUGUUGUACAAAUCUUUGAAUUAUACUAUGUUCUUAAUUUAGUGAAAUCUCGUUUCUCACAAAGACCUUAUGUGAGCUGUUUUUUUCUGUCUAAAAAUGUAAGUGGUGAGGUGUUUCUUGAGUGCGCUACAAGCGAUGCUGCUUUGCUGAUUUAUCGCUUUUUGUUAGAAUAUAGAAGAUUACGCGGUGUACUUUAUUUUGAUAGUUAUCCAAAUUUAUAUGUAUAUACACUGUAUAUACAUUUAUGGAAAUUCAGAAUUCCAGGACAAAUAAGUGCUAAUAAAAUAUCAAACUUAUAAUUUUCAUUUUCAUGACAACCUGAAAUGGAAAAAAAAAAAAUUGAGGAUAAUUUGAGAUUGAAGAAGAUACAAAGGAUUUUGGAGGUGAUGCAAAAUAGCAAUCACCUUGGUGCUUAAUUUGAAGCGAAUCAGCAGAAGUAGAACAUGUCAUUUUAGCUGACACAACCAUUAAUAUAGAACUUGACAAGCAAACACCCAAAAGCGAUACUUUUUGCUGUACAACUGAAAUAUUGCAAAUUGCCUACAUCAUUGCAAAAACAAGAAACAUAUAUGCAUGGUUGUAAUUACUAAUUAGGGGGAGCCUAUCGCUUCUGUUCUGAACGUACUUUCGAAGUUCAUUUUGCAGCCAUAAGUGCAUGUUGUAACAAUUUGGUUCUAUAACAUAUUUUGGCAAAUUUACGGAGCGGCAAAGGAACAAACUAUGCCCUUUAAUGGUAGAUUUUUACAAAGUUAUCAUGCAAACGAGUCCAGGAUAUUUUCCCCAUAAAUGGACUUCAAAACAUGGUAGUAGAACUUGAGAAACUGAAGGCGAUUUGAGGAUGCUGUAGACAUUAUUGUUUUCGAUAGCAGAAAGAGCAAAAUUUUCACACGUCUAUAUAUGUUGCCCUUUUCAAAUGUAACAGGUUACAAAGUUGAAGCCAUGGAAGGUUAGUCACAGUUUUACUCGUCAAUCACAGGGUGUUCUUAUGUUUUGAACGUAUAAUACCAAACGAAGAAAAAUAUAUAAAGAGAGGAAUUUACUUGGGUAACAAGAAGGGACAGAUUUUCCUACUAAAGUUCACUGAUGACGACAACAACAGCAGGUCAAUUCUUCCCUGCAAGACUUGGACAGGAAGAAAAAUAAAUGAUUUACUUAGUCGAACAGAACUAGGAGAAGAAAAAGAAAAAUAUUCCAGCUGCCACAGAAUUAUUAGUGGUGUCAACGGGUUGGUUUCGGAUUAGAAUUGAACAUUGCGGACCUAGACCCUUUUUAUUUAGUAGACUCGGACCCAACUCGUAUAUCUUACGGGUCUUGAUUUUAGAGUUCCGAAAUUGGAUCCGACGCGUCCCGAGUCAGAUUCGAGUAUAUUCGGAAAGAAAAUGUCCAAACUUAAACAUUCUAAAAUUAAAUCCAAAAUUAAUCACAAAUUCAAUCUCCAAAUUUAAACAAAUCAAAUUACAAAGCUAAAUCACAAAUAACUCGCAAUAGUCAAUCUAAAACUAAACCACAAAGUCAUUACUAAAUUGUUAAUUUGGUAAAAGAAUGUAUUUAGAAAUAUUUAUAUUUUAAAAUUAUUCAUAUAUUGUUCGAAUACGGUCGAAAUCCUAUAUUCUGUAUCCUACCCUUUUUUGUUAGAAUAAACGGGUAUAGGUCCGAGUUCGGAUCCAGGUAUCGAAAUUAUAUUUUAAUCCAAACCCAGAAAAAUUGAUCGAAUACGGGUCGGGUCUAGAUCCAAACUCGACCCGUUGACACCCUUACAUAGGGAUUAACAGAAGGAAACGAAAAAAACAAUGAUUCGUCCCAUAUUUUUGACAAAAUCUCAUAGGCCAAGUCACUCUGCUUGAUUUCAUUGAUCUCCAAGCGUUUUUCUUCUCUUGUUUGGAUUGCAAUUUUUUCGAGUUUUGUAUAAAAUGUAUUAUAGCAAUUUGAUAUAAGUGAGGUAAAAAGAUUAUUGGAAAAUAUGUUCACAAAAACGUAAAAAAUUUUUGAUGAAAAAUGGCAACUCAUAUAAUUUCCUUCAAAUUCCUCAUUAAUAUACUCCAUAUGAGGAAUUUAUUGAUGUCAUAAUCAGCCACCUUUUUUUUAUAUCCAAAAAAAAAAUCAUCAAAUUGGUUUUCACUCCUCUCAAGUUCAUAAUUUAUAGGUUGUUCCAAUGACUAAACGCCACAAAAGUUUGAGCUUAGAAUAAGGGCUGGGGUCUUUUGUUACACGUCUUCAUGUUACAUUAUGUUACACAUCUUUUGUUAGAAUAAGGGCUUGUCUUGUCUGAGACUUUUACAUGUAGUACCUGUAUAAGCCAAGAAUGUUGUAAUUUUAGGGAUAUAGAAAACGAAAUUCGAACCAAUCGUCGUGAUACGAUAUGUUGGAUUGGGGUAAUGUAAAAUUUCUUAUAAACAUGGCAACGUUGGUUUGGAAAGAUAUAUGAAUAUUGAUGUAUAGGGGUCUUUAUAGUUUUAAACAAUCUAUGUGAGGUAGUUAUGUGAACCUCAAUAACAUUAGUUUUUCAAAUUUUUUUAAAUUCAUAAUUGAAUCUUUUUUUUUUUGGAAAGAUAUAAAUUUCUCAACAGACCUACACUACAACUUCCUAGUAAAAAAUUAAAAAGAAAAACUAGGUCCAUUUUGAUUGCGGGUUUUGAUUUCAGAACCCAAAAUCAGCCCAAUCAUUUUGGUCGAGGCUUUUCCCUCCUCACACUGGGCUAUCUAGGCCAAGUUUGUGGUAGAUCCCAUUGAUUGACCAAUGCAUGGGACAGGCUAAAACACAAAGCAUACAUACCAAGAUAGCCCAAUCACAAACCCACUAAACGGCUAUUGGGCAACAAGAAGAUUAAACGGAUUUCGCAAGUAAGAUUAUCCUUGGCAAUUUAGCUUCCCAUUAUUUAUAGCUCCUCCAACAAUUGCAGGAAACUAUUCGCUGGAAAAAACGAAGGCUCUGUUUGGAUUGUAAAUUAUUUGAGAUAUUUUUACUGUAGCACUUUUGUGAUGUGAUGUCUGUGAGAUAAAAAGGUAAUUGGGAAGAUAAAAAGGUGCGUUGGAAAUUGUAAUGAUGAUAUAAGCAAAUAAAUUUUGGCUAAUAAAUCUCUAUCCAAACAAACCUUCGGGUUACAAAGCAAACAAUUGUAAUGGGAGCAGAAUAAGGGUGUUUCGCGAAUCGAGCUGCUCUCGAGCCGAUCACGAGCGGCGCGAAUACGAGCUCGAGUCGAGCUCAUCAAUAUCAAGCUUGAGUCGAGCUCGAGCUAAUUAAUUCGAUCUCGAGCUCGAGCUAAAAAACAUUGAGCUCGUUGGCUCACGAGCUCAAUUAUAUAUAUAAUUUUUAUUUUUUAUUUUAAUAGUGAAAUUACAUAUAUAUCUCUAAUAUUUUAUUAUUUGUUAAAAAAAUUAUUGUUUUAUUCAUUUUAAAAAAAAUAAUUAUUUUUAUUUUUUUUAAAAUAAAAUAAUAAUAAUUAUUUUUUUAUUUUUUAAGCUCGAGCUUGAGCUUGAUAUUUUGAGCUCGUCGAGCUUGAACUCGAGUUCGAGCUUCACAAAAUUAACUCGAGCUCGACUCAAAUUCGGCACGUUUGCACCCCUAAAGCAGAAUGACCAGAAAACUCAAUCUCAAUCAUCAGAAGGAGCAAAAGAAGCUGAUGGAAGUUGAAGACCUCCUUAAAUACUUACCUAUCGUAUCAUAAAAUUUUGACAUAAUCUGCGAGGCCAACCAUCUGCUGCAUUUCAUUGAUUUCAUCUCCUAAAUAAAUUGAGAGCAAAGCUUUAGUGUUUCCGGUUCGAUUUCCUGUAUUAAUUGUUUUACGUAAAAAAACAUUGUUGGCAUAUUAAAUCAAGACUCAAAAAUAGAAAUUUGAAUAUUAUUGUUUAGCAGUUUUUCAAUCAAGUUAAGGUUUUAAAAAUUCUAUUUUUUUUUUACUUUUUUAAAAAAGUGUAAGUCGGAGAUUUCGAAUUCGAGAAUUUUGACUUACAUUCCUUUUUUCGUAUCACUCAACUCAUCCCUUCCCCCAAUUAAUAAUUCUAAUUGAGUCAAAUUAUAGUAAUUUUAUUAUUUAGAAGGGAUAAUUUCAAAAACCUCCCUUGAGGUUUCUGACAAUUUCACUCGACUCCCCUUAGAUUUAAAAAUUACACUUAUCUCCCUUGACAUAGUAAAAUACCUAUAAUGCCUCCACUUGGUAGACAAUUUUAAAUUUACGGCAAUAAAUUUACAAAAUCCAAAAAAAUCCAAUUUUUUGUCUCUUAUUUAUUUUCACUCCUCUCUUUUCUAAUUAAUAUAACAUCUUUGUAUUAUUUUCAAUUUUGUGGAUAUUAGCCAAUUGAAAUUACAAAAUCAAUAGAAAGAGUAGAUUAUGUGUCAAAUUAGAAGGAAAUAAAGAGACUCGUAGUGAUACAAAAAUAAAUAAUGAAAUUGAUGAAAUUAGAAGAACUAAAGAUGUAGAAUUUGUCAUAUUUUGUUUUUUCUCAAGAAAAUCUUUUAUAAAAUGUCAAUAAUUACAUAAGAAUUUCUUUCACUGGAGUAGAAAUUUUUUAUUAUGGAAAUAAAAUUUAUUCUCUACUUUUGAGAUAUUAAGAUUGAUAACGCCAUAGGAUGGUUAUAAUGGCAAUUCUAAGUCAGACUAGCUUGUAUUAAAAAGGUAUUUAAGCAUUGACAUUUAAUUUUGGGGUACAACUGGUUGUCAAUGGGGUUUGUGUGUGUAUUUUUUCUUUUUUCUUUUUUUGCGUGACAAGCAUUGAUACUGUAUAUGCAAUUUGAAAUUUUUUAAUUGGUUAUUUGGUUUUAAAAUUUAUGUUUGAAUGAUUAUUAGGAAUUAGUGUUGUUGAUUUAUGUAAAGUAUGAAAAAAUGAUUGAGUAUACUAUAUUUUUUUUCUUAGUUUUAUACAAAAGGGCAAUUUAGGAUUUUUAUAAGAAAAUCUAUCUUAUUGAACCUACAUUGUUACUAAACAUUAAAAGUAAGGGAGGUAUAUAUAAUUUUUAAAACCUAAGUGAAGCUCUCUAUAAUUGUUAAAAACCAAAAGGGAGGUUUGUGAAAUUAUCCCUAUUUAGAAAUUGGUGUUUCCUAUCACUCAACCCAUCCAAGUUUCAGACAUCUAUAGAUGUAUCUAUAGAAGUAUAGACCUAUCUAUAGAUGUAUGAAAUCACAUUUUCAUACAUCCAAGUUUUUAUUUUAAAUUUUUAUAGGGACUGUUUUUUUUUUUUUUUGGGUGUUUGGUACAAAUAGGGAUAGAGCUGGUUAACAUUAAAUACAAUACAGAAGGAAUGCUCGACUUCUUGUUCGUUAAUCUGCAUAACUCUGACGAAAUUGAACUAUAUUCUCUGCGUCGAUCAAGUUUAGGAACUUAAGUUUCAAUUAGCUACACGAGUUGAAUCCCAUACAUCACAAAGCAGAUUAAUUCCGCAAAAUCUUUGAAGCAAUCUGUAAUUCCAAAUUGUAGAAGGUAAAAGAUGAAAUCAAAUGCAGUAGUAGCUCAUAAUUGGCUAGUCAUAGCUGACGCAAAUCCGAAAUCCUUCUUCAUGGACGUGCAGAAAGUAUUGAUUCUAGGAGUAGUAUAAGGCCCCUCAAGUAAACCUUUGGCCAUAAAUCUAUAUGCGGCUUCUGUAAGGUGAAUGCCAUCCCAACUGAUAUAUAGAGAAGGCAAGCACAAGCAGUAGACGCUGGUUCUCCACAUUGCGCUGAAAAAUUAUAAUUGUAAGGGGGACCUCCAUCGCCGCAACAGGCCAUAAGCGAUCUUCCUCCGAAACCUGAAAAAGGUGGUCAGGGAAUUGAGUCUCCUACAUACAACUAUCACGAUAUCAACUUACCGUAAUCAGAAUGAUGAUGAAGAUGAUAAUUAUACGAAUAAUACAAGGAAAAAUCACAUGCCUAGAUGUCGUUGUUUCGUACUUUAAUUGGAUUCUCUAGUUUGGAAUUGAAACAGUGCUAUAUAUCUACAUCUGAAAGAGAUCAAACAGAGAAUCUAGGAAUUUCAUUUUGGCGGUGAUUUCUUUAAUUGGUUUCUCCUUUGGACGGUGAAAAUGUUGUUUCCAAAAUCAUUGAGAUACAUUUCCUUGAGGUAUCAAUUUGGGUGCCAAAAGAGCCCGUGAUCCCGAUUUUGACCAAAUUGAUCCGCCUUUGUUUAACAAGCAAUUUGCAAUAUCAGUUGCAUUAAACCAGGAAUAAUGGAGUUGAGAAUUACCGUUUUGUUCCGGAGAACGAAAAAGCUGCAUCAGAGGAUUGAAAUAAUCGGCAUACAAUAUGAGUGCAUCUGGGUGAUUUGCUCGAACUCCAUUCAGCUCUUCUUGAAGUAGUUCAUUGUGAUAAUUGGAAAAAUCGUUCAACCAACUCAGGCAGCCUGUUGCUGUAUCAUAAUCUUCUUUGUUUGAACUCUUGAAAUAGGUUAACAUCGCUGGCGAGCAUCCAUCAGGCAAUAGACCAUUCACCAUUAUGUUUACCACUCCCAGGUCUAUCAAUUCCUACAUCAGGAGCUCCCCAAAAAAAAAUUAAAAUCCUCCGUCAGGAAUAUAAAUCAAUAUCAUGCACAUACUAGCCCUUUAACCAUGUAACGUUCGUGAAAGAAAGAAUCCCGAGUUAAAGAGUGGCAACGAUGCAAUGUAGCAUAAGACCAGAAAAGAAUGCCUAAAAGUUUUUUUUUCCCCAGCAAACAACACUGAAAAGAUUCUGGAGCUGAAAUGUUGUUAGAAAAAGAAAUGUGCAAGUCAGAAUGCUGCAUAGCGCCGUGAGGUGUUGAAGGUGGCAAACCUGACUAAAUAUAUAUAUAUUUUUUCUUUUAGUUGUUCCCUUAAGAAAGAGAAAAAAAAAAGUAGAACUUUGAGCAAUAAAAACAAAUAGGGAAAAAUUCUUACGUUAAUGGCAGACCUAGUGGCACUAAUAACCAAAGGAACCAAGGAUUUUGUCUCCUCCAAGCUUUUUCCUUGCAGAAAUGCUUUGCCAUAAUCGUUGCCACCGAAUCCCAUAAGAAAGAGCGAGCUUUUGAAAACUUCGCUACAGCCUGCGAAUGACUCCCCCAUGAGCUAUUAACGUUAAUUUUCAAAGCCAUUAAUAAAUCAGUAACUCGAGAACCUCUCAAAUAAACCUUUGGCUUUGGACAGCACACCAUCUGAGUCAGCUCAAAAAAAUUUUGAUACACACUAUGCAUUUCCACUUAAAUACUUCAAUAUCCUGUUUUGAGUUGGAUUGGGAUUAUUUUAUGCAAUUUUCAUGGUGCAGUUCAUGAUUCUGAUGUCUUGAAUUUUAAUUUGGAUUGACAGGAGUGCUGGUGGGACAUAGCUUUAAAUCAAUGUUUCACUUUUUACACGUUAUUUUAUUAGUGUUUAUACCUAUUGCAUUUGUGACGAUGCAUAUACGUACAUAUUGGAAAUCAACAAUCCAAGAUACACACACCAAAUAAGGUUGAGGGUGGCAAUUGUCCCCAUAGAAGUUCGAUGAUUAUUUGUUUGACUUAGAAAUCUUGAAAGUUUUUAUAUUCGCACCAUUUUUGCCAACCUCCUCACCUCUAUCUACUCCACCCACUAAAUUUUGGAAACUCCUCUCGUCGCUACCUUAAGAUGUGUUCGACCAUUUCAAAUUAAAAGCAGCUGUCACCAAAAAGUAUGGAGAAUGUGAAUUAUGAUGUUCAUAAUAAAUUUGAGCAAACAAAACAAAUUUAUUCAAUGUAUGACAUAUGCGUCUCCUAUCACAUCUAUCGCUAAAUAUAUUAGUGAGAUCGACUAACAUUUAUGCAUUUGUAAGUUUAUAUAUACCCUCCAAUUUUGUCUUCUUUUAGACGCGACUUCAUUGGUUACUGGACAGAACCACCGGGGCCACGUUGACAGCGGAGUUUGUGUUUAUAAGAAAUUGAAGAUCAUGAGGUCUUCUUCCAAAUAAAUACACUUUUAAUUUGGAAGUUUGGUUUAAACUCGUAUUUUGUACAUGGGCUGCCCUUACCAUAGACUCUCCUCUCUUCCCGUCUUAUUUUCGGCAUAAAGAUGGAGAAUGGAAUUUUAAAAUGUUUGGGGACCAAAAUAUCAUUUACUUGACUCCGUAGGGGAAGUUUUGCCCAAAAUUUGGGAUGAAAAGGUGAGGUUUCUUUAUAAACAUCAUGGACUACUUCAGCAGUUUUGAGUAUUUUGGCUUACAAGCACGUCCGGGGAAAAGAAAAACAACUCAUGAUUUUUCAGUGAGAGAUGUUAUAUCAGCCGUGUGCCUUUUUUUUUUUUUUUUUCCCUAAAGGAAGUGUCAAUGUUAAGUUAUUUAGAAAAAAAUCUCUAGGUUUUCUGUGCUAUUUGGUAGGGAAAAUUAGCAAUUUGAUCCAUUUUAUUUAAUUUUUUUUAACCUCUCACCUCUCCCUAUACUUUUUGGACUUUCAAUCAUCAAAUCUAAAAUUCGAACUGUGAACCUAACAAUUAAAAGAAUUCUAAGAGAUCUCUCUCUCUGGAUCAUUGAGUCAAGGAAAUUUUUUGUGGAGAUACCCGACCCGAAAUUCAGGGGAAUUAAAGGAACAUGCUGGUCAUGUUUAUAACACGAAAUUGGUCAAUCUCCCCUAGCACGUUGAACCUCGUUCAACUUGCGGGGUCAUAUUUCCCUCUAAACUGAUUCUUUGGAUUUUAAUGCAUAUGUCUCUUUUUUUUUAAGUAAAGAUUAAUGCAUAUCUUGGAAAGAAUAGAAAAAAAAAAAUAAUACGUGGCUGUUGAUGUCUAAUGUGUCAUGUCAUACAACCACCAUAGGACACCGACCGUAGUACAUGCAUGCCAUUUCUUUCUGACAGUUUCUUACGAAAGUAAGAAUUUUUGGAGUACAUGGCAGACAUAAAUUUGAGCAGAAAAUAUCCGACACAUCUUGCACGUGGCUACUUUAUUUUUGCUUUUUUGACUCUUCAACUCAUGAGCUUAUUGAUUUGGUAUAAUAGUCCUAAAUAUUUUUUUAAAAAAAUAAUAAUAAAAUAAAAAAAAAACACCUGAUCUCCAACGAAUUGCAUAUUUAGAUGGUAAACAUUGGAAAAUCAUGCCAUAUCAACUUAAAAUAUGCGUCGUUCUCAAUCCCUAAACAUCUUUAAGCCUUUUUUUUUUUUUUUUGUUCUUUGAGGAUAAUAAAAAAAAAGAUAAGAAUUCUCGUCCAACACGAGUAGCUGGGCUUUGAAACCAUUUUUCCGUCUGGACAAGAAAUACUUACUUGAGGAAUUGCAAAGAGAUGGCAGCAGCCCUUUGAACCACCUGAGUUGGGUACUCAUAGAGAUAUUAGCCAAAGUAGAAGAAAUUCCUUUUUCUCCAUAAAAUGGGACGUCAAGUGCUGUAGCUCCUGCAACUGCAAAGUUCAGACCGGCUUGAAACCUUGAGUUGCUUCGAUGAUUCGCGCCCCUAAGAUACGGUGGAACCGGUGGAAGUCCAUAGUAUUCAGCUGCAAAAGACGACGCAUGGAUAAGUAAAAGAUCACUCCUACUUAUGCUAGUUCUUCUAGUACCAAGCCCACAACCCUGGGACGUUUCUACCCCAGUGCCGGACGGCGACAAAUAUGGCCUGAAGAAAGAACAUUUUCUAACUUGGUUAUAUCCAGCAAUGGAUUGUUUAUGAGUGGGCGAAGCGCAGAGCUACCUAUGAAAUCGAUUAUUAGCCGACCAUCGGAGCAUCGACCUGUUGGGUGAUGAAAAUAGGUCUCUCCGUAAGGAGGUAAGCCGCAGUAGAGUGUUCCUUUGCUCAGAUGAAAUAUAGGCGGGUAAAUGGUCGCGUAAUUUCCAGUGUCAGCCAGUGAAUCGCCGAGGGCAAAGAUUGACGUGAAACAGCCGGAGGCAGUUUUCAGUGAGGACAAUAAUAUGAGAAAGGUGACUGAAAAUGAGAUGGUUGUUGGAAGAGAUGAAGAUGAUGAAGCCAUUUCAAAUUGUAAAUUGUGGUGGCAGGACUUGCAACCUUGUCUUGUAUUUGUUCUGUAGUAUUCCUGUUUAGUUUAUUUCAAAAUUUAUGUAGCUUUUCAUAUAUAGCAAAAUUUAUUUGAAAUAAUUUUGUAAAAAAAAAAUUUUUUAAUAUUUUUUAGAUAUGAUAUAUGUGAAAUAAAAAAAUAAUUAAAAAAUAUAUUAAUAAUACAAGUAAAUAAAUCACCGUCUGUAAAUAAAAUAUAAAUAAAGUAAAGUAAAAGAUCAUCCAAACACGUUAUUAUUGAAUAUUUCUCUUUAAUGCUCACUUCGCCACAUGUCACUAUCUCACCUACUUUUCUUACGUGCUCAUAAAGCAUGAUUCUGGCGGUUGCUUUUCAUCAGCGAUGACCCUGAAAAGAGGCAUUAGAUUAAAUCCUGCGCAUGAGAUAUAUGAUUCAGUAAUCUUUGUUGACAGUAGACAUCUGUUCUUCCUAUGAUUUUAUGCAUGGAUGAUUUUGUAUACUACGGGGCUCAGAAUCAGUAGACAUUCUAUUUUGUGCUGGGAAAAACCAAAAACGCAAAUUUAGAAGCACAACAGGACACCCCUCGGAAGCAAAUGUUAGCAAAGUCAGUUAGCAAAUCACCAAACGCAUAGAUUGAUGUGUAACUGAAACAGCCGGUGGCAGUUUCCAAUUGGCAGAGGAUGCCCCAAGAUUGUGAGAAUCGUGGUGUACAGAAGAGCUGACGAGGAUGAAGCCAUGUUAAAUUGUGGUGUACGCAAAACUGCCUGACCCACAGCCUUAUUUCCUGCUCAGUGGCACUUGCGGGGAAAUUUCCGUCUUUGUUUAUAGUCAGAACUUGCAUGGACCAGUCCAUGUCCCCAGUCCCCACACAUAGGCCUUGUGGUAUCUAAGUAGCCACGUGUGUUUUGUCUUGUUAAUGGGCAAUAGUCGGUAGUUGAUGGGUUAACAACGCCUAUAUUCUCUCAAAAUAGUCAAGGCAAGAUUUUGAAGCAGCAACUGUUCCUCGCCGCCCGCCGUUGCUCAUUCCCCUCACCACUCUCAGUUUCAGCUACAAUUGACACCAUAGCUUCAUUGCCUGUGGCUUUCAUGUGGCCGAGGCACAUUGCGCCACCUACUCUUCAAUCAUUGUCAAGUCUGUUUGCCCAUCCUUGUCAAAUCAUUGUCAAGUCUAAGACUUUUGCCCACUCUUAUUUUCUGUUUCUGGUCCCUAGAAAGUAAUUGAAUUGAGUCGAGCUCAAAUCAUUGUCAAGUCUAGGACUUUUGCCCACUCUUAUCUUCUGUUUCCGGUCCCUAGGAAUCAGGAUGUAAUUAAAUCGAGUUGAACUCAAAUAUCGUUAUAUUCGAACUCAACUCGACAAUAGAGUAGUACUGUUCGAGUUCUAAUAAGUAGCAGAAAUGGAGUUUGAACUCGAACUUGAAAAAUUAUUCGAAAAUUCGAGAUCGACUCGAUUAUACUCGAUUUUUUUACAAAUAUAUGAUCGAGGUCUCGAGUUCAAGAUUCUUGUCCACUCCCAAAAUUACAGAAUAUAACUCUUCAUGUAAAAUAGAUUGAUACAAGCCCAAUUUUUCAAUUGAAACAAGUUGGAACAUUUGCAAUUAAUCAUAAGAAAGUUCCACGUCCUAUCAUGCAAAAAUGGAAAUUCGGAAAAAAAAAAAAUAGUUGCACAAAGUGUUAGUUAUAAAUUGAGCAUAGUCACUGAUGAUUACAUUAACAUUUAACAACCAAGUAGCUAGCCUCAAAAUAAAGAGCCCAAAACAAGAGUAAUUUACUACUGCAACAGCCUACAACUUGCAAGUCUUACACAAGAUAAUAUCUUAGUACCAAGUCAACACCAAAACAAAUUCAAGGACGUCAGUGGCAAUAAACCUCCAAAACAAAGAGUAAUUUACGACUUCAUCAGCAACCUACAACUUGCAAGUCUACCCAAGACAAUAUCUUAACACCAAGCUAGCACCAAAACAAAUUCAUAGAUGAAGCAACAAAUGAGUAAAAACAAAGGCAGCAGCAAAAAAUGCUCCCAUAAAGCGGCCAUCCUUAAAUAUUUUUUCAACUGAAAGCCACGUAUUAAAACAAAAUUGAAUGACUAAACAAGCAAAAAUUUAAAAAUGAUAGACCUGAAUCACCUAACUACGCUUUGUCCAAACCAUAGUUAUUAAAUCCGGCGGAGGGACCAUGUCAAUGGGGUCGCUCGGUGGGUAUUAAUUUAAUAUUUAUAAGGGAUAAUUGCAGAAACCUCCCCUGAGGUUUCUGACAUUUGCACUGACCUCCCUUGUGAUUUAAAAAAUUAUACUGAUCUCCCCUGAGGUUACUAAUCCUUUGCAAAUUCAGUCCAAACGAUUAAAAUAUUGUUUUAGGGUGAAAUUAGAAAUUUUUUACCAAAUUUGUCCUUUGUACUAUAUGUCCAAUGAAUGACAAAAUACUACAAAUCAAUUAACAAUUAAUAAACUUUAAGGAGUAUAGUUCAUAGACAAAUAUGCAUUACCUAUUUAAAGUACCGGUUCUUCAUGGGUAUUUUACUUUCAAAUAUUUAAUUUAAUAUAAAUAUUUAUGCUCAAAUACAUAUUUGUAUUUACUUUCAAAUAUUUAAUUUUUGUUAAAUAUAAAAACUACCAAUCUCUCUUCCGUAAAAAUAUUAAUAUAACACUUUUUCAAUUUUAGUUACAAACAUUUAUAUAUUUAACAUAAAUUAAAUGAUUCAGAAUAAAAUACCCAUAAAGAGCCAAUACUUUACUCAUGUAAUGGAUGAAAACUAUAAAGAAUUAAUACUUUAUGGGUCAUUUUUUUAAAAAAAAAUAUUUAAUUUAUAUUAAAUAAAUAACCUACCAAUUUCCUUUUUGUAAGAAUAUUACUGUAACACUUUUUGAAUUUUACUAACAAACAUUGAUAUAUUUAUCAUAAAUUAAAUGUUUAAAAGUAAAAUAUCCGUAAAAAACCGGUACUUUAAAUGAAUAAUGCGUGUUUACCUAUAAAGAGCCAGUAACUAUUUAAAGUACCGGUUCUUUAAGGAUAUUUUACUUUCAAACAUUUAAUUUAAUACAAAUAUUUACGCUCAAAUACAGAUUUGUAUUUACUUUCAAAUAUUUAAUUUUUUUAAAUACAAAACCUACCAAUCUCUCUUCCGUAAAAAUAUUAAUAUAACACUUUUUCAAUUUUAGUUACAAACAUUUAUGUAUUUAACACAAAUUAAAUGAUUCAGAAUAAAAUACACAUAAAGAGCGAAUACUUUACUCGUGUAAUGGAUGAAAGUCAUAAAAAAUUAAUACUUUAUGGGCCAUUUAUUUUUUUUUAAAAAAAUAUUUAAUUUAUAUUAAAUAAAUAACCCUAUCGAUUUCCUUUUUGCAAGAAUAUUACUAUAACAAUUUUUUAAAUUUUACUUACAAAUAUUGAUAUAUUUAUCAUAAAUUAAAUAUUUGAAAGUAAAAUACUCGUAAAGAGCUGGUACUUUAAAUGAGUAACGCGUGUUUGUCCAUAAAUUAUACUCUUUAAAAUUUAUUAAUUGUUAAUUGAUUUAUAGUACUUUGUCAUUCAUUAGAUAUGUAGCACAAAGGGCAAAUCUGGUACAAAAUUCUAAUUUUAUUCUCUAAAAUAAUAUUUUAAUCGUUUGGACUAAAUUUGCAAAGGAUUAGUAACCUCAGGAGAGGUCAGUGUAAUUUUUCAAACCACAAGGGAGGUCAGUGCAAAUGUCAGAAACCUCAGGGGAGGUUUCUGCAAUUAUCCCUAUUUAUAAAUAUAAAAUAGUAAUUUUAAUAUAUAUAAAUACCUAAUGGAGUAGUCUUAGAUACUAAUUAUUAUCCUUAGAAAGAUAUAGAAUGAAUAUAUGGAUAUUAAUAGAACAUUUAAUUUCAUUUUUAUUAAACUUUUAGAUAAAUAAAUAAUUUAGUCAAAUAUAAAACAAAAUUGUGAUUUAUUUGUAGAAAUGUAGCAUUAUUUAAAAAAUAACACGUUUCUUAACUACCUUUUAAAGACACUUGCUCAAAGCAAACGGGCUCUAAAGUCGCAGCCUGAUCCGCUUGUACCUUCCAUGUUGCUUUGCAGCAAGAAGAAAUUUCCGCUUAGUUAAAGCCAAAAACAAAAUUUGAAGAGGGAAUAAAUUUCAAACAAAAGCAGAAAAGCAAGAGAAAUUCAGCAACAAAAAAAAAAAACAUUAUUUGGUGGCGUCACCUCAACCAGUUUCAUUCUUGGAUUAGCGAACAUUUACUCUGACAAAACGUCUUAGACAGUGGCUACCUUCAACACUUGGGGAAACUAUUCUCUUGGUUAAUUAUAAAGUGAUGAGUUCGAAGCAAGCCAGUUGGCUAGUGUUUAUACAUGCUGAUACGGUAACUGGUAAAUAAUUUCACUAGACAAGAAAUUAUUUCUUUCCAAGUUGAGUCUUCCACCUAUUUGUAGUAGUUAAAUGGUCAGGUUUUCAAGGAGUUGUUUAAGUGAAGUAAUUAUAACUCAAACCGGCCCAUAUUCUUGAUAAUCUUGUCACAAGGAUUACCAAGCUGGCUGUCGUUUCCUGUACUCGGUGGUAGAGUCAGGACCUAGGCUCAGUGAGAGCAAGAUUGUAUACUUAAAAUGAAAUACAAAAAAUUCUUCUGUUGUGGAGUUUUUGUUCUACUUUCUACAAUUUUUCUCAUUCAAGUAGUAAUUACAUGUUCUCACUGAUAAAAAUGCUAGUCCGUCUUCUAUUGGGAUCCCUUGAAAAUGUUGUGGUGACAAACUCCAAGAAGCAAGGUGGGAUGACAGAUAAUGGUGGAAAUGAGGUGUUGAUGUCCAUAUGCUGAAAAAGGUUUAACGUCAGAAAUUUUUUGGGUGGCAACGGAGCAGCCAAGUACUGGCAUGAAAAACGUCUCCUUAAGCUGCCAUUCUCUGGACGGAGAUGAAAAGGGUUGUCGUGAUCAGCUACAAGGAAAAUUGGGUUGAUGAUGAGGAUGAUGACUUCAUGGCAGCAAAAGCAGCUGUUUUAGGUGAAGAACAUCGGUGGUUUUUGGUGAAGCUGCAAAGGAGUUGUUGACUAAGAACAACAUUGACAAAGGAUUUUUGUGGCUGGUCUGCCUUUGAUUCCCAUGUGUGAUAGCCAAAACACGGUGAAAUUGUUUUUGUGGGGUUGGGGAGAGUCUUGCUGCAGAUUCUACAGUUAUAGCAUGUUCAUUAUGCUUUGCUAGUGAUUUCUUCUUUUGAUUGGACGGCCUAUUCUGGUAUAUAAUCGGAGUUUUAUUGUCAUUAUUUUAGAGCUUCUAGUUCAUUAAUUUACUAUUUUAUUGUGCAGCUUCUUCGUCCUUUUCUAAUCCAUCCAUGUUGUCUGUUUAUAGUCUCGGAUUUUAGAAAAGAAAAAGAGAAUUUUCUUCAUGGAGAGAUAGAAGGAAUUUGCUUCUUUGGGGGUUUGAUGCAAAAAUAUCCUCGAUUCUGGAUUGGUAAUUGGUUUCCUCGUAGAGUUGUACCAUAUGCCUACUUGCUUUUUCUUUGGUUACUUAAUUUGGCUCUUGAGCAAUUUUUGUAUGUUCAGCUAAUAUUGUGAUUAAAUUCCACUGCCACGCUCAACUAGAAAGUCCGUACCUCCUCCUUUUAAGUGACAAUUAAAAAAAAAAUCAUCACUACUUUCAGUGCUUCUUCUCCUUCUUUUUUUCGGGUUUUCAAAGAGGAAUUGCAAAAUAAGCUUUCAAAGGAGAAGGCAAAUUUUUUUGGUGAAGCUGCAUCAGAAAUGUUUAAAAAAGGUGAAAACGUGCAACAUGAUAAGUUUUAGGGUAAAAUUCAAAAUAGAAGAGAAAAUACGAGUAAGAGAAUUGGCGAGUGAGUAUCUCAAAAAAAAUUUUAGAAGAUAAAGAAAUAAAAAGAUCAUUAACACAAGCGUGUAAAUGGCUAAAUGAGGCCACUCUUGCUUAUCAUGUAUCUGUGAACUCGGGAAGAACUCUAGAAUCAUUCUUUAUUGCUUUUCAAAGGGAAAAAAUCUCCAAAAAACUGGGGGCGAAAGAUAAGAGACUUGGCUAGUAAAUUUCUCCAAAAAAAAAAAAAAGAAUUAGCAAGUGAAAUAAAUCCAAAGAUGAUAAUUAAUCGAUUCUAUAAAAGAAGAGAAGCUUUUAAAUAAGGAAUGCUGUUGGAGAAUUUUAAUAAGAAGAUAAAGAAAUUAAUGACCAUUGAUACAAGUGCAUAAAAAGGUUUAUGGAAAAAGCAAUAUAGUCUAAAAGGAAAAAAAGAAAAAGAAAAAAGAAGCAGUCACAUUACAAGCUUGAUAAGUUAUAUAUGUUUAGCCAUAUCCAAAACAAUAUGAGAAUAACUUCCACAUUCCAUUUUUAACUAUCUAGGCAUAGAGCAUCUUUGCUUACGGUAUACUAUAAUUUUUCUGAUAAUGAUUUUGUACAACUUAAUUGACUCGGAUUGCAUACGCGACCCGUAUUUGGAAUGAAAAUAUUCAAACAGGUAGGACUGAAACUAAUAUGCAUGUCACAGGAUCAAUUGUUCGUUAAGGCAACUAAUUACUGAAUUCUGAUAAACAAUUUCCUUUUUCACAAAUGAUCUCCUUAAAUCAGAUUUAUUGAAUGAAACAACUAUUUUAUGGAUAAUGCUGGAUAGGAUAAUGGUGGCAGCAUUUUCUUGCUGCCGUAAAAAGCAAUUGUACAUUUGCUGUUCUGUGGUGCUACAAAGCAACAGCUGUGAUUAAAUUCAUCUUCCCCGCUCCCUUUGUUCUAUCCUAGCUGUCCUGCGUGUCCAUAAAUAUCACCUGGAACUAGGAAUUUAGCGACUGAAAGUUUCAAGCAAUCAGAAAAAGCAACACAGAAUCUGCGAACUGAAAAUGGAGGAUUUUGGCGUUAAUCAAGUAGGUGAAGAGGAUGCUGAACGUCCCUUCAAUCGCUUACCAGAUGGGCUAAUUCUGUUCCACAUUUUUGACAAAAUCCCAGAAGCCCAGUUCCUUUUCCGUUGUUCAAUGGUCUCUAAGCGUUUUUCAGGUCUUGUUUUCCAAUCCAAGACUGUUUCCGUCAAAAUCCCACUUCAGAUUCCCGACCAGGAGUGGACCGAUCCAACAGACCCUGUCAUUCCUGCAGAUUAUGUGCUGAACCUUGCUACCGAAUUUCUUGUGAAAUUCACUUCCGUGGAAUCCCUCCGCAUUGAAUUCGACUGUCCUGGAGGCGGUGGGAGGAGCUCCGACGUCUGCUCCAGUACUUGUAAUGAGCCGCUCGUUAAGUGGAAGAUCGACUUGGGAUCUGCUAGCUUUAUCAUGCUGUUUGCAGAGAGUCUUAACAAUGACGAUGUUGUUGUUGAAGAAGUUGACGAUAGAGUCGGAGAUGAGGAAUUAGACGUCAUUAGGGGAUGCGUCUUCAAUCAUCUCAACGAUGCAUUCUUGACGUUGGCACUGAUGAAAACGUUGACUCACUUGUUACCAGAAUCCCUACGAAAUGUUGAGGUCAAAGACACAAAGAAGCAAGGUGGGCUUGUUAGUUUUGAUGGGAGUGAGGUGAUUGACGUAAAGAUGAUCAAAAGAUGUAAGAUUAGAGAUUUAUUCGCUGAAAGGGGAGCUGUUAAAUACUGGCAUAAAUCACUUGUUAAAUUGCCGUUGUCUGGAUCUGUGAUGAAGGGGCUUUGUGUUAUACGGUACAGAGAAAAGUGGGAUGAUGGCGAAUGUGAUGAUCUGUUGGCAGCCCGCGCAGCUUUUCAAGGGGGUGGAGAAGAAAAGGUUUAUGGUGAAGCUGCAAGACAGUUUCUGACGAUGCAGAACAUUAGCAGCGGAAUUCUGGGAUACGUUUGAUCUGGAGCAAUUUUUGUUCUUGAGUAUGGGUCAAGUGGCAGCCCAUUACCAUUUUCUUUCCUAUGCUAAUUCACAAAUUUGUUUCCCAUUAACUAAUCUAAAAAUGUGGCAGGAUUGGUCCAAUAAUUAGGAAAGAGUUCUUAGAGCUUUUUCCUCGGCAAGAUUCAGAAUUCGAAUAAUAUACCUGACGGGUCGGAGUGGAAGGAUGGGGGCAAGGGAAAAAAAAUCGCAAGUUUAAAUCAGUGGUUAGACCAUGUUUGGUGCAUGUGUUUAUACCCUCUGGCUAGUCAGCAUGCGCUCAUAUCUUUCAGCUGGUAAACCGUUGCUUGAACUCUGAUUUGAAUAUUUCUUGCACUCAAGUCACGGACAUUGGGAUUGGGCACGUCGAUUACAACCGUUCCAUCAUUUUUCUCCGCUGCCCCUAGCUUGUCACUUUCCUGUCCUAUGUCUUUCGAUGUUAUUUUACCAUCUGCCAUGUUGCCCUAUUUUUCGGAGCUGUGGAUGAAUGAGUAUUGAGUGUUGGCAAUUAUUUUGAGGAACUUAACAUAGGGUUCAGUUGAUCAAAAGUCAAAACCUGGGAAGGGUCGAAGUUGUUUGAAGGACGCCCGCGUUAUCUAUCGUUGCGUUGGAAAAGUCAGACAAGAGUUGCCUUUGACCGCCGGAAGAAAAAUGUGGGUCCCAUCUCCUCUGCAAUUCUUGGUCAUUCAUUCGCGACAGAGGAUUUUAGGCGUUGGUUAUCUAAACACACUCGUAAUAUUAAAUAGGGGUGGGCGUGGGUCGAAUACCUGUCCUAUUCACCAUUUGAUUGAUCUGAUCCACAUUUUGCGGGUCAGCCAUUUUUUGAUCCUUACCUGCCCCGCAUAUCAGCGGGUACCUUAUAAUCGGGUAUCCGCUGAGAUAAGGUCGGGUCAGUGGGUACCCGUCCCGUUCCAUUUAUCAUUUAAUAUUUAAAAAAAAUAAUUUAUACCAAUUUAAUUUUAUAUUUUACAUAUUCAUUUAAAAUUUAAUAAUUUUUUUUUCUUAAAAAAGGUUUUCCACCAAAAAAAAGCAUGUGAAGAGAAUAUAAGAUAAAGGAAAAAAAUUAAAAGAAUUCAAAAUCAAUAAAAGUUUAAAAUAAGUAGCAUAAUUUUUAAUAUAUAUGUUCUCUCCCUUUACAUUUGUUUGGAAAGUCAUUUUUCUCAAAAAUUUUUCUACGUUUUCUGUGAAUACAUUUUUCAAUCAUUUUUUUAUCUCGUAUAUUUCAAAUCAUUACAUUACAUUUUUUUACAAAAACUUCAAAAUAUUGCAAUCCAAACAAAAUAAAUCAACCUCUAAAGAUAGACACAUUUUCUAUUAAAUCUUCUCGUUCUUUCAUUGUUUAAUUUCCCAAACACGACAGUAGCUAAAACUCGUAUCCAAAGAAAGAAGAGGGUGAAUGCACGGCUUAAAAGCAUAGACAAUAACCAAUUUGGAUUUUGAUUUAUUGUGAAAAUUUUUUUACGUAUUUUAUGAACACAUUUUUCAAGCACUUUUUUAUCUCACAUGUAUCAAAUCGUUACAGUACACUUUUUUUACAAAACUCUUAAAAAUAACAAUACAAACAGGUCCAUUUCUGCAUUAGCCACAAUGAAAUAAAACCAUCAAUUAGCCACUAAUCUGACAAUCUGGCAUCCCCCACUAAUUUCACCGUGCAUUGGAUGUUGAAUAGUACCACCACCAGCUAACACCAUACGCGCAAGGGGAGACCAGCUGGCUGCUUUCUCCAGUUAUCCGACUUAUACAGCUAUACUUGCGAUUUCUGCUUUCUGCAAAACAACAUGAAGCAGCAGGGAGGACAGGUGAUUCUCUUCUGCCAUCGAUGACCUCCUAUCCCAACACAAAAAUUUGACCAUGAAAAGCAUUUGAUUUCUAUGCAACGUAAGAGCUUGUUUGAAUUGCUAUUUUUAAAAAUUUUUGUAAAAAGAAAAUGUAUUGUAUUUGAUACAUGUAAAAUAGAAGAGUGAUUGAAAAAUAUAUUUGCAAAAAAAUAAAUUUUUUUUUGUAAAAAAACUACAAUUCAAGGCAUAAAUUUUUACAAAAUUUUCUUUGGAUGUUGUACAACCUCUAAAAGGUGUACUACUAAAUUGUAGUACUACAAAGCAAUUCAUGUUAAUAAUUGCUCGGACCCGAAUGUCACUAAAGAACAGGGGAGCAUAGCAUGGAGCCAUAGAGGCAAUGUUUUGAAAAUCGGACCGGACCGACCGGUUUUACCGUGAAACUGUCAAAAUCGGAUUGAACCAGUUUUUUUCGAUUUUUUUUGUUUUUUAACGUUUUGCAAAAUGUAGCUUUCAAGAUUCGAACUCAUGACCUUUAUAAUAGAAAACCAAUAUAGUAACCGUUGCACUAUCAUAUUUUAUUAAUCUUUGUUAUAAUUUAUUUAUAUAAAACAAACACUUAUAUUUCUUUUUUUUAUAUUUUUUUUUACAAAAUCUCAUCCUCUCACGGCUCUUUCUUUUUAAUCUUUAACUCUCUCUCUCUCUCUCUCUAUCCUCUUUUCUUUUGUCACUCCCUUUUUAAUCAAACAUCUUUAUUUUUAAUUUAUUAAUAUUUUCUUACAUCAUUUAAUUUUAUUUUUGUCCAUUAAAUUAAAAAAGUUAAAAAAGAAUUAUUUUUUUAACCCAAAUUAUUUAAUGCACACAAUCACUUACUUUUAUCUCAUUUUUUGUUUCUUAUCAAGUUUGCAUUUCUAUUUUCGAUUCUCUUGAUUUUUUUUAAACUCCUAACUUUCUUUUUUAAAUUGCAAUAUCUAAAUCCCAAAACGUAAAUUUAAAUUUAAAUUCACAAUGUCUAAAUUCUCAUAGACGUGAAUUUUGUAUAAUUUCAAAAUAUUGUAAUAUUUGUGGGUUGGAUUUAAGAUUUUUUGGUAGAUAUAAUUGAAAUUGAGAUGAAAUUUAUUUGUUUUAACUUAUAAUUCAAAAAUAAAUAAUUUAUUUUUAAAAAUCCAAGUUAUUCAAAAAUAGUAAACUUUUCAUCAUGUAAAGUAUUAAAUUAGUCCAUUACAUGUGUUAUUUUGUGCAUAUAUGUAUUUAUAUAAAAUAUUUUUUAAAAAAUUCAUUGAACCAAGAUUGAAUCGGUCCGACCGGUUGAACCUCGACCCUUUCAUUUCACCGGUUCAAUUAACGGUCUGAUUUGUAAAACAUUGCAUAGAGAUAAAUACCUAGCUAUCUCUUUUACCACCCAAAAAAAAAGCGCCAAAGCUGAUUUCCUGUGAGGCAUCCUUCUCAUAUCCUCCUGCAUCAUAACCAGUGAUGCAACCAAAUCAACAAUGUUCAUGGUGUUUGCCCUGAUUAUAUCUCCAAUUAAAAAAGCCCUUUGGUGGAAGAAGCAACAGGCUUGCCCCUUUGCCAUGUCUCUUGUUUUCCUUAUAUCCUUUUCCAUUAGAACCAUCCCCAUUUUUGUCAUCUUUUUCCUUGUCUUUGGAAAGCCAAUUCAUACUCUCUCUUUGAUCCCAUUAAUGCAGCAUAAUGACCUUCUAUCCAUAUCUGCAAAGUGGGGUUGAGAUAUUUCAAUUCAAGAAUUCAUGGGGUAUUGGUUUUGGACAAAAUGGGAUUGGAAAAAUCAGGACAGAAGCUCGUUUUAUAUUUUGGUCUCAUUGAGAAUAAUAUCUUAUGAAUUGGGCCUUUCCAAACAUAAGAAAAAAAGAUGACAAUGUUGGGGAUGGAUCUAAUGGAAAAGAAAAUAAGGGAAAUAAGGGAAGUGGCAAAGGAAGCAAGCUUGCUUCUUCUUCUGCCAAGGGGUUUUUAGGGGUAUAAUUAGGGCAGACACCAUCAAUAUUAUUGAAAGAUUAGGAGGGUAAGGCCCUUACAGAAGCUAACAGAAGAAAAAAAAAAGCAAAUAUACAAACUCAGGUAUAAAAAUACCUUCUUCCAUGCUAAACUUUCUGCUUUUAAUCUUUCAUACUUGGCAAUUAAAAUAAAUGGAGUUUUUUUUCACUUUUUUAUAUUUUUGUUGGAAAUGAAUUUUUUUUUCCAAUUUUCGUAUGCAGUAUUUUUUAAAAAUGUUUUACCCUAAUACUUCAAGGGGGCUUUUGCUAUCUUCUUCUGCAGGUGUUUUUAUCUGUUUAUUUAUCAAGUAAAAUUUUUUCUGGACAAAUACCUUCAUGAUUUUUGAUGGGCUUGGAAUGCUGCUAGCAAAUUCUAUCAUUAACAUGCUAGUUUUACAUUAAUAUUGUUGUUUUAAGUAUUGUAGUCUUCUUUUUUGACUGAAGUUAUUCUAAUUACUUUGCUCUGGUUUUUUGUUUUCUGCUUAUAGAUCUGUCCCUAGAUUAAUGUGAUGUUGUAAUGCGCUGAGUUUUUUUCUUCUUUUUUUUAAAUUUAUUUUUGUGGAAUGGGGCCGGGGUUAGGAAGGGGGGGACUACUAGUUAAUUUAAUUAUGGUUCUAUUUUUCUUUUUUCGUACUAGUUAACUUGCAUUGGAAACUUUUGAGCCUGGUUCUAUUUUUAUCCUAUUAUGCGAAUUAUUUUUUAAAAAAGAUAUAUAUCGUAAAUUAAUUUUGUUUUCCUUUUUUUAAUUUGGGAAUCUUAAUCUCCAAAAGUGAAUAGGAUUCAACGAUGUAGUACUCUAUAUAUACAGAUAUUAUAGGUUAUAAGCCUGUAUUACGCUUUCUUACGUUACUUUAUUACGCGUUUGAUAAUGAAGUUCUUAACAACACCAACGGAGUAUUUGGGAGAGAAUCAACAAUUCGUGCACCAUUAUUUUUGCCAUUCUUUUUCUACAAUCCGACAAACAAAACUCAACAAGGGAAACAAAAUUCUUAUGCCAGCUUCAGCUUUAGACUGCCUUUCUGCUCUCAGGAUCGAUUAUCCAAUGAUGUUUUCAAUCCAAAAUACUUAUGACGAUUGUGUCCGCACUUCUCAUUGCGGAGUCUUGGAAUUCACUGCCGAAGAGGGUUUCGUCUUCCUCCCUCAAUGGAUGAUGGACAACUUGAAAAUCCUCGAAGGGGACCUCGUCCUCCUCAAGGAUGUCUCUCUUCCAAAAGGAACUUAUGUGAAGUUGCAGCCACACACCACAGAUUUCAUUAACAUAUCCGAUCCUAAAGCCGUUUUGGAGAAAGCCCUCAAGAAGUUUGCUUGUUUGACCACCGGAGAUACCAUUACAAUCUCACACAAUUCCAGAAGAAGUUUAGCAUUGAUGUAGUGGAAACCAAACCAAACUCGGCAAUAAGCAUUAUUGAUACAGACUGCGAGGUGGAUUUUGCUGCUCCUUUGGAUUAUAUAGAGCCAGAGAAGAAAGGCUCACAUGUAGCAAAUAAAAUUGGAAACAGCAAGGAAGGCAAAGACAAGCAAAAGUUUGUAGCCUUCUCUGGCUUAGCAAGACGGUUAGAUGGGGCGGUGCCAGUAGGGCUGCAAACGAAUCAAACGGCUCGAGUCGAGCUCGAGCUAAGAAUAUUAAACUCGUUAGCUCGCGAGCCCGCUUCGAACUUGAGUAUAUAUAUAUAUAUAUUUUUUUAUUUUAUUUAAUAAUAAAAUUACGUAUAUUAUAUAUAAAUUUUUUUUAUUUUUUAUUUUUAUAGUAAAAUUACGUAUAUAUUCUUAAUAUUUUAUUAUUUAUUCAGAAAAAAAUAUUAUUUUAUUUAUUUUUUUAAAAAUAAAAUAUUUUUUUUUUAUUUUUUUUCGAGCUGGCUCGACUUGAUUCGAGUCGAGCUCGAACUUGAUAAAAUUUAGUCGAGACUCGGCUCGAUUAGCUCAAAACUCGACUCGGUUCGGCUCGUUUGCAGCCCUAAGUGCCUGCGGUGUCUGACGCGGUAGUAGAAAAGAUGGAGACGGAUGAAAUCAGCGGCAAGACUUCGUCAAAAACCCGUGGGUGUCAAGACCCCGGAAGCAUGGUGUUCGGACGAUCUAGCGUGGUUAAUGAGGGAUCCCCGAAGAAAGACGAAAAAGAAUAACAUGCUUGCAAGAAAGAAGAAACUAAAUUUGAACCAUUCACAGGUAGGAAAAGCGUAAUAGGUUUCCGUUUAGCGAUUGCCUUUUUUUAUUUUCACUUGCUCGAUUUUUGCAAUUAACAUGUACUCGGCAGUUCUUGUACAUAAGUUCUUGGAGUGAUUGAAACAAUAAUCUUCAUGUUUUAAGCUCCAUCACAUUAACUGAAUUAGUGUCCCACAAUGUCGCCUAUGAUUGAGAGUUGAAGUCUCAGGGGGAGACGCAUCAGAAAGUUUUCAUGCAUGACGUCUGUAGAUUUUGAAGCUUUCAGCAGCAUCUAAAGCCAAAUAAUUUUUUCUGGAAUAUUGCUGUAAGCUGGAUAACGCCUGCAGACUACUGCUUCCAAGUUCCCUGAUGGCGAUUUGCUAGUAGCUAGGCCUUCAAAUAUUCCACUAACAGUGUAAGGCGCAAAAUUUAGGACGGUUGUGCUUGCAAGCCUUUAAAUGUCCCAGCACUUAUUUCCCUUUUUGUCCCUUCUUUUCUUUCAAGUAUGAAGAGUAUUAGUAAUUCGUUUCAAUAGCAUCUUUUGCAGCCCCCAGUGCACUAUCAAUUAAGAAUCCAUAAGUUCACUUCCAGUCUUCCAUCUCAGUAACUUCUCUAUCAGAAUUGAGAAAAUACUAAACCACAGUGUCACCUUUUUUGGCUAUUUCUUACUUUCAAUGUAGUACUUUUUAAUUUUCUUUUUUUUUAUUUAUCUAAAUUUUAUUUUUCUUUCUUCUUUUUUUUUUGUUUGCAUUUGGGGCAAAUUAAGAUUUAUUACAAUUUAGUAGGGCAAAAUAUGAUUUUUUUUUAAUAUCAUCUCUUAUUUUUCCAAAGGAAAAGAAAAAGAGAAAGAAAAAGGAAAAAGAAGAAGUAGUAUUAGUUUUUAUUUGACCUUUUUUUAACUUUGAUAAUUAGUUUUAAUGGAAACUAACAGUUAUACUUUACUCCAAAUUAUGAGGGAGUAAUACAUAAGUUUUUAAAUUAUAGGAAUUAUGUGGUACGGUUCCAAAUCAUAGGAAAAAUAAUUUACCUUCAAAAAAAUAAAGAAUCACAAAAAAAAAAAUAGGGAAUGACAUUUUUGCCCCCCAGGGAGAAAAGAACCAAGUAAAAAAUAACUGCCCUCUCUUUCUUUCUUUUUUUGGGUAUGGUAUUGCUAAAUGGGAGGAUCACACUUUGACACUUCACUCUCCAGAGCUCAAUGAUUCCAGAAAUCUUCAAAAUACUAGAGGAACAAGAGGGCCUUUCUGAUAUUAGAAUUUUUUUUUUUUUGGGAACCAUUUUACAAUUUUCAACCCUAGUUUGUGAUAAUCUACAUGCAUCUUCGUAAUUUUCUUCCAAUUUGGCUAACCUAGCUAUGAUGAACUUAUCGGUAUUAUUUGCAUUGUAAUUAAGGCUAUGUUUGUUUUUAGGAAGGAAAAAGAAAUAAGAGAAAACUUUUUUUCUUUUUUGAAUGAAAAGAAUUGAAAAUUUUUACAACAAUAUACUAGAAGAGAAGAGCUUUCGUGGGUUGGAAAUUUCAUAUGAAAGAAAAGGAAUUGAGGAGUACGAUGGAUAAUUAAGGAGUACGUAGUAUACUAGUAUUAAGACUUAAAAGAUUCCCAGGUUGGAAAGAUGCUCAAUUACUUCGUUUUCUCUCUUUUCUCCUGUUUUAAAAAAUCACAAACAUAUUAUUAUUCUUUCUCUGUUAUUAACCAACAUUAAGGUGGGGAACCCGGCUUGGAUUCUUAUCUUUUUCUCCGUUAUUUUGUAAUUUAUUUUUGUUUUAACCAUUCAUUAGAAUUCACAUAUAAGUAAAAUUUUAGUCAUUCUUGAACUACAGUUGUGAAUUGAAUUAUCCAAGUAUUUGAAAGCAAAUCUUAACUCAGAACAACUGAAUAGGACCUCCUAAUCUCCAUUAUUGUCUUAUUAAUCAGCCCCAACUGCUGGAGUUUAUGAUACAAAUUAGAACGGGUGCAAUUAGGAGUGUCACUCUCCAGACUAAUGACAAGUCAGGAAAUCCUAUAUAUGUUUACUAAAACAUAUUACUAGAAAACUUUUUCUGUUUCCAGCUCUAAGCUUCAGCUACUGCCAAAAAAAAAAAAAAAAAAAAAAAAGCUCUAUGCUUCAGCUCUUUCAUUGCUUGUCUAGCACUCUUGUUGGCUUUACAGGGAAGGAUGCUUUUUUUUCAUCUUUUGGGACUUUAUUUUGGUCAUACUACAUGUUGAAUUAAUGCGCAUGGAAGGACGCACACUAGCAUUGUCAGUCUCUGCCUGAUUCGCUUGUACGUAGCUUUGUGACCAUCAUUAAUGUCACAGAUACUUGGGCAACAAGAUAGUAUCAAGUUAUUGUCAAACCUGAAAAGACUCAAAAAAAAAAAAUUAAAGUGAAGCACAAAUUUGGACAAGCAUAGAUAUCAGAGGAGUAAAGAUUGCUUUGCAGUUGCUAUAAGAAGCUAACGCUGAACUAAUGUACUACUAGAUCAAAUGAUCAAUCCUCCUGUAGCCCUUGAAAUUUGACCUGAUAGAGCGAUAUUCCACCAAGAAACGAAGGAUUAACUUGAUCAUCAAACAAAAUGCCAUCACCAGCAGCAGCAGCAGCAGAAGAUGGUCAAGAUCCCUUCAAACGCUUACCAGAUGAUCUGUUGAUAUCCCACAUAUUUGACAAAAUUUCAGAGGCCAAGUCCCUGUGCUGGUGUUCACUUGUCUCCAAGCAUUUAUAUUCUCUAGUUUACCAAACCCGAAAUGUUUUCUUGAAAAUACCUCUCCUGGUCCCAGAUGAUGAUGGACUCGAUCAAUUCAGGGACUUCACCCGUCGUUUUUGUUUAGCUGGAAAAAAAGGCGUCCACAUUGUCACCAUUCCCUUCGAGUUCUUCGUUCAUGGCCACGGAUCUCGUCCGCCGUCCUCUCCUACUCCUACAGCCUCUGAAAAUCAAUUCUUGUCUCAUCCGUCAACCAAGUGUCUCUGGAAAUUCAACUCCAUCAAAUCUCUCCAAGUUGAGUUUCAUCGUUGCGGUUCACGGAAUGAGCAGCAGCCAGUGGUCAAGUGGAAGAUUGACAGAAAAUCAGCUAAAUAUAUACUAAUCCUGGCCCCCCCCAACGAGCCCUGGCCCAGCCGAUCCUGCUGCUGCUGCUGAAAUUGGGUCCCUUAUGAAGGUUCACUUUGGCUGUCAUCUGGAUAUUGCUUGCCUAACGUUUUCACUGAUGGAAUCCCUUCUUCCUUUUUACCAGAAUCCCUUCAGCAUGUUAUAUUCACAGAUUCUGAGAAGCGAGGUAGGCUUGAUCUUGGAGAAAGUGAACUUGCUCUGAUGAGGAGGACUGAUAUUCCAACGAAUACAAGAACAACAAAUGCUAAGGAUCAAGGAGACGAGGAAAGCAUUGGAUUCUGGUUUGCACCUUCGCUGAAACUGCCAGUGCUGUCAAGUGGCAGCUCAUAUAUGAUCAUGAUUACUCUUCUCAAGCGCAAAAGAAAUGCUGAUCAAGUAGGAAAUUCUGCUUGUAAUUUCCAGAGAGUAAAACAAGCUUUUGAAGGUGAAGAAGAGGUUCUUAUCGAAGAUGUAAUAGAAAUGCUCAGGGACGUUGAUUUCUGAAAAAAAAAAAGUUUAGCCUUCUGACAAUAGUAGUAUCUCCUUAGUUAUGGUCGAAAAAGUGAAAAUCCUUGGUAGGAUUUGACUUCUAAUCCGUCAUGGCUUGUUUAGCUUAAGAAAAUGAAAUAAUAAUGUUAACGUUGUUAACAUAAUUGCCUGUUAACGUUGUUAGAGCAUUAAGAAAAUGAAAUCUCCUUUUUAUUUAUGCCAACUCAUGAUUUUCGUCCACCUCACCGAAUCCAACAAAUUCCCUAAAUUUACCGUAGCUAUUUGAGGCCAACUCUGAAGUUAGAAAAACUGAGAAAAUUGGAAAAUACUGCUACUAAUAGGAAAAGAAUUAGUACUAUUACUUUUUAUUGGAAUUGUAUCCAAGUCUUUUACCAAAUUAUACACAUGUGGAAUUAUAUCAUAUGCGCUCCCCAUCAGCCAAGGAAACAAGAACUUGAGAGAAUCUCUAUCUCAUUAAGAUAAACAUGUGUGAAGUGCUGUGGUACUGUCAGUAAAUACGGAGAACAUGCCAACAAAGUAAAUGGCACGUAAUAGCAUCAGACAGCAGAAUAAUUUUCUGGCUAUAGUUUGAAUCAAUGGCAAUGCAUGUUCAUGUAAGAGGUAAUUCCUUUACUUCUUUCCUGGUGAGAAGACUAAAUUCUGUCUCAUUGACAACAUUCUGAUCAGUAAAGAUAAGACUGUUGGCAAAAAUAAUAAUAAUAAUGCUGCUCCUAGCAACUGGGGCAAACACAACUUUCACGUGGUUAAAAGCUGAUGUCUUGACAGAAGAAAGCACUUGUACGUAAACUUUGGCAACGAGGAUGUUGAUGUUAGGGGUAUGUAUAAACUUACUCGGAAACAUGAUUAUUUUCAAGCGAUUGUUCGGAUAAGAGUUUACUUGGAUGAUUUAUUUGAGAUAUUUACGGUAACACUUUUUAUGAUGUGAUGUAUGUGAAAUAAAAAAGUGAUUGAAAAAAUAAAAAAUGUGAUUGAAAUUUGUGAAGUAAAUUAUUUUGUUUCAAAUUAUUUCAAUCCAAACACACUAAUUAAUGUAAUAAGGGUAGCCCCAAACUCCCUAAAUAGGGGUGGGUGGCUGUGGGUAUAAUCAGCUUCUUCUAUCACGCUGUCUCAAUUACAUGGUGAUGGUGGUGGUUUUUUUUUAACUCAUGAUAAUACAUAUGAACUUGUUUGUUGCUUUGAAUCUAUUUUCCCUACUCCUAAUUUCCUCCGCUUUAGUAACGGAUGAAUCGCUUUUCCUUAGCCCCAAAAUAACAAGAGACAGAACGAAACUGCUAGCAAUUAAUAAUAACAUUGAUUCACCGGCAGACUACUAAUAUUAAUAUUACAUGAACGAUUCAUGAGUCUCAAAAUUAAACUAAUACAUAGUAGCUGACCUUUCGCCCCAAAAAAAAAAAAAAAAGUAACGCGAAAAUGCAUUAAAAACAGUAAUGACAGCAGACUGACUACCCAUUGAAAAUCAAACCUCAAAAACCAAACGAAUUUUAGACUUUUUAAAGAUCAUCAUGACGAGAUAGAUAUUUGUUUGCUAAGCGAGAUUUCCUCAGAGACUAGCUCUAAUCUCCUUCACCAUUUCCAGUACAGUUUCAACAAAAACCUCAUCUUUAUCUUCAAAAGCGGAUUGUACUUUCAAGUAAUCCUCGGACUCAUUGGCCAAGAAAAGAGUAAAAGAUUGCCCGAUUGGGCCUGAAAAUGGAAACUUAACUCUAGAUUUAGCACUCGUCACCCUCUGCAAAUACUCGGUAUUUCUUGGAUUAUCACAAAUCCGCCUCAUCUGAUCAGCGAGAUCAGUUUUUCCCAGAUCUUGCUUGCUCCGGUUCUUGGAAUCUGUGAUGGUCACCCGGAGAAGGGAUUCCGGUAAGAAAGGCAGGAGGGUUUCCAUUAUCGAGAAAGUGUAAAAACCCAUAGCCAGAUGACAAUGACAUUCAACGGUAAGCAACCCAAUUUCCCUAGCAUAAAUGUUGUUAGCAUCAUCAAGACAACUUCUGGAAGCAUAGAGAUAUAUAAAAGUAUCUGAUUCGAAGUCGAGCUUCCACUUCAUCACAGGUUCCUUGAUGAAACGGAUACUGCCUGUGGCCUCGGAAUCUUCCGGCGGAUACAAGAUUUCCACAUGGAGGGAUUCCAUGCGGGAGAAUUUAGCAAGAAAUUUGGUGGUGAGAUGAGACAGAAACUCGAAAUCCAAGUGCUCGAAGUGGAAAGUCAAUCGCUGGGACUUCUGGAGGAAGGGAAACAUCCCCAGGGGAGCUAUGAAACAGUGGACUGGUUUUCCUGGAAAACAAGCAGGAGUGGUUUUCUUAUCGAGUUCCUGGCGGGUUUUUUUUUUUUUUUUUUUUUUGCAUCCGCUACAAGGGGAGUCAUUUUGUCCGGGGGUUACCGACUAGUUUAUAAUUUUAAAUGAAGAAACCAACUAUAAGGUGCCAUAAACAACCGCUGAUUUUUUGCCGAAAUUAAAAAAUUACUUUUGCAACCGCUCAAGUCUUGGUUUAGCGGUCAAGACAAUCGAAACAGACUUAUAGCUGUUUGUUUGAUAGAACAACAACAUCAAUGAGACAGCCAGUGAGACAUAUAUAGCAGUUCCAAGUAUGGAUCCAUUCUAGUUUGAAAUGAUCAACUCCUGCUGUAGAUCCAACAAUCCCAUACUUCAGCUGUUCAUUGCAAACAAAUUUAGUGAAAAAUUAAAGAUCCUGUUGUUGCUGAUCAUUAAACUGUGCAUCCACCAUCAACCACAAGAUUAUGCCCUGUGAUAAAUGUAGAAUCAUCGGAGGCAAGGAAUAAAGCAGCAUCAGCAACAUGAUCAACUUUCAGUAUAGCUUCUUUCAAGGAAGUCUGAGGCUGAUGAAUCUUCUCUAAUUCCUCAACAUCCAUAUGAAAAUAGUUGCACGCUAAUGGUGUAGCAACAACAAAUGGUGAAACAGCGUUGACUCUAAUCCCAUGUGGCCCCAACUGCUUACUAGCACAUCUCAUCAGCCCCAGAACUGCAUGUUUCGACAUGUAAUAAUCUGUCGAAACUUCUCCAGCUGUAGUGGCUGCUAUACUCGCCGUGCAAACUAUGCUGCCCUUUACUCCCCUUUCCACCAUCGCUUUUGCAGCAUGUUUUACACAUGCCGUCAUGCCUCGUACGUUGAUAGCAAAGAGUUGAUCAAGUUCUGAGAAGUCAAGAUCGAUCACCAAUUGAUUUGACUUGCUAAAUACUCCAGCAUUGCUGAACAUGACAUCUAGUUGGCCGUAAGUUUGGAUGGUUGAAUCUAUCAUUCUCUGGACUUGCUCUUCAUCAGCUACAUCACAACGGACAUAGCUGCAGUUUUUUGAACCAAUCGAUUCAGCCACGGUUCGGCCCUUUUCGUCUUGGAUGUCAGCGAUCACAACUUUGGCACCAUGGUUGGCAAAAAGUCGAGCAGUUGCCUCGCCGAUGCCGCUAGCACCACCUGUUACGACGGCAACUUUGGCUUCCAGCUUUUUGGUGAUGCUAGAAGGUUGUUGCGCCAUCUCUCUCGAGGAAAAGAAGAAAAAAAAAAGAUUUUUUUUUUCAGGAAGCUAGUUCUUCUUUAGGAGAAAUUAUAGUUGUACAAUGCAUGUAAAACUUCAAGGAUUGCUGCUUUAUAAUACUACCAUAUGUCCCACCCUUGCCUAAUCGUGCGCCAUUGUGCCUAUAGAGUAUUUUACUCUAUAAUUGGAAGUCCAAACAAGUUGCCAACUCAUGUUGGAAGGCAUUAUGUACUUGGAAUCUCUGAUGUUUUCUAGGUAAUACUUAAUGAGCCCAAGUCAACGAUGGAGAGUUGGUGUGUUGAGAAUUGGGAAUUUUAUGCAGGCCUAUAAUUUACAGAACAAAUUGAUGAUCCCAGAAUCCAUUUAGCAGUGGUCUAACAUGUUGUGUUAUCUCACCCACUUAACAGACUAUCGUUUGAUUCAAGCCUCCAAUCCAGAGUCUAAUAUGUUCUCUGACAGAUUCAAGCCUCCAAUGCAGAGAUUUCAAUUGAUUAGAGCAUUUCUCAAGAGGAUCGGCUGGUUUGCAACUUUAAUAACCAAACAAAACAGCUCCUUUAUUAUUAUUAUUUUUUGGGGUCCGUUCAGGAAAAUUUAAGUCAAGAGCAGCUGGCAGAACUGGACGUAAGCUGAUUGGGCUAAGUCUGGCCUUGAAUUAGCCAACCACUUGGGGCCUGAUCAAUGUUCAUGCCGUAGAGAUUAAUGUUGCAUUCCUAAAUAAUCACAACCACAAUCCUCUGGGAGAAACUCCCAUUUGAGAGGCCGAAUCUGUCAGUCAUGAACUGUAGAGUGAUUUGAUAUCAAAGUUGUCACAGAAUGAGAUGAAGCGCCAGGCAGUCCAGAAAAUACAGGGGACGACGUCUUACUAUCCAUGUUAACUAGUUAAUAUACCAAAUUCCAAAUGUUAAAACCCCCAUGAUAAUACUGAAUCCAAGUUCAUGACUUCAUUCAUAUUUCAUUCAAUUAACACACCAUGCAAGUAUUGUAAUUGAUGAAGGGAGGGGUGUUCGCUUGAGGACUUGAAGCCUUUGAAAUGAAGCUUGCAUUUGGGGGAAAUAAUCAAAUCUAGCAUGAUCCCUCAAAAAAAAAAAAUUUUUUUUUUUUUUUUUGGAUAAGCAAGAUAACUUCAUUUAAUUCACUGAAAGCUGACACUCCAAGAAAUACAGCAAGUAGAAGGGAUGGUCUGAUUCCUUAUUUUGAUAACAAGUAGAAUGUGUCAGGAAAUAGAGUCUUGUUCCUCCCAAUUCAUCCAUCAUACGCGGGCUUGUUUUGGACCAUAUCCGCAACUUGGACAACAUAUCGAGAGAUUGAACAAUCUUUACAAAUUAACCUCCGCUUAACAGAGUUAGAAGUACUUUUGCUAUGGUUUCAAUCUGAGUAAAAAAGCAAAAGAAACAACAUCCAGGAUGAGUCUAAAGACUGAACUAUAUGAUCAGAAUACAUUGCUGGCCUACUUAAAAGUAAGGCACUUAUCUAUCAAACUCGUGUAUUUGACAAGUUUUCUGGUCAGGGGUUCAUGAUCCCUCCAUCAUUGAUGAAUUCAUGGUGCUGUGGAGUGCUCUAUUCCGAA
rnacentral:lncRNA from 1 species